rnacentral:lncRNA from 1 species
UUUUUUUUUGAAGUUGCAACGCUGACGGUUGAAUUACAUCUUUUACAAAGGCCAAUGCACAUUUCAUAUAGGCUGUGUCCCUUUGCCUUCCUCCCACCUUUUUAUUAAUGCGGUCCGGGCUAGACGCAUGAAACCAUAAUUUUUUUUUGAAGUUGCAACGCCGACGGUUGAAUUACAUCUUUUACAAAGGCCAAUGCACAUUUCAUAUUUAUUUUCCAAAAAUAUCACAUAAAGUCAGUCUUAAUGCACAAUUUAAUUGGACAGUUACCGAGACUGAGAACUUAAUAGCUGUGCUUGAUGAGUGUCAUGGAGAUGAAACUCCUCUCCCAUAUGAUGAAAUUCUUUAUUCUCUCCCCUCGUAAUGGUCUUGUCAAGUCAGCAAAAUUGAUAAUACGGUAUACAAUUUAAUGCUCAUGAAAAAACCUUCCAUUGAAACUGGCCUAAGUAAGAUAGCAUUUAUUUCGAUGUUGAAAUAGCUCCAUAGAAUGCAUAAUUCUAUUGUUUAUUAUUUCCAAGACUACAUACAAGAAAUGAAUUUUGAAAAACAAUGUACAUAGGUUUCAAUUAGAUGAAAUCCAUCAUCUCUCUCUUCGUUGAUUCUUUGCCACGUAUACGUCAUAAAAGACACUAACAUGACGCUUCAUAUAAUGAGAAUGAAAAUCCCAUCAAGAUUGAUCCAAUACUAUCUCAAACUAUGACAUGCUAGACCAAGAUUCAAAUAUUUUAAUUUUAACUGAUUUACAUAGUAUACUGAAAUUUGAUAUCAUUAGAUUUGUAUUGAAAAAACCAAUUCCAUACGAUUUCAAAGUAUUUUGUGGUUAUAUACAUUAUAAUAUAUAAGAUAUUAACGGUCAAAAUAUGACAUUGAAGACUGUAAUUAGUCAAACCACAUCUUAGGCUAAUCCAGUUGAGAGUUUAACGGUGUUUAACGGUCAAAAUAUGACAUUGAGAGUUUAGGACAAGGAAAUGGUGUUUAACGAGUCACACACUAAUUAAUGAUUAAUGAGAAUGAUGAGACGUACUAGGAAAAAAAUAAAUCCUAGAAAUUGUAAAAAAAUUAGAAACAUUUGGCCAUCCAUCCGGUAGUUCAAAUUAUCGUAGCCAUUAAAUUUUAUUUAACAUUUUUCCACAACGGUGGAAGGUUUCAAUAGAACUUGAUCGUCUAUGCAUGGUAGCUAUGCUAUAUAACGGCUUUCAUGAACAUGCCAUGCCAUGGCACCUCAGUUAGCCCCGGCAGUAGCUGCUGCCGUCCACACUUGAGAAAUUAGUUCAGCCGGCGUUUCUUGUGCUUGAGCUGCCUGAGCCUGACAACCUCACUGACAGCGCUCCUGCUCACCGUCGCCUUCCGUCCUUCACCAAAGUUCCAGAGCUCGCGCGCCAGGUAACCUCCGCUGGUGUUGUGCUCGUUCAUCUCGAUCACCGCGCGGUCUUCACCGCCAUCGCCGUACUCGUCCCGCGGGCGCCUCUCUCAGCUCCGCGUCGUCGUCGUCGUCGUCGUCGUCCACGACUUUCUGCAACACCCCGAUGAUGACUCGUUAUAUUGCUGCUUGACAAAUUGUGAAAUUAAGACCUUGCAAGUUGGAUAUAAGUAUAUGCCUUGGUUUUGCCAUUGGCGUCGUCAAAAAUCCUGAAAGGCACUUCCUCCUGCCAAUCAGAGAUCAGCGUUGCCGCUCUGACCUGCUUGAAACAAAAUAGCUAAUGCAUACUGAUGGAUGGUUAGUAGCUAAGAGUACCUUUGACUUUUCAACAUCCAUAAUGACACCACUUUUCUUAGCCAAUGAUCCAUCGAUCAACUUGGAGCUUGAGCUUAGUAGAGCCAUUUGUGUCAUUCUUUGUGCUCUUCUCAAACCAGUGCAUGUCCAAGUUCCAUUGUGUCUCGUAACCUCUCCAGUUGAUGCAAGUGCGUCUUUUUAACGUCAAUCUGGGUUUCCAAUAUAUCCACCACUACUGGAAAACGGAAUUUCCCUGUGUGUAUUCAAUUUUCCUGUGGGUUUUUUGAGCACACACAGGGAAAUCAAUUUCCCUGUCGGUGUGCAAACACCACACAGGGAAAUAACCAAACCCACAGGGAAAUUCGCUUUUCCUUGUCGGUAUUAAAAAACACACAGGGAAAUGGUUAAACCCACAGGGAAAAUACUCAUUUCCUUGUGCGUUAGGUAAAACACACAGAGGAAAUCGCAAAAACACACAGGAAAAUACUCAUCAGGUAACCUGUAGUAAAUAGUUAACCAGAGCCUUAUACUACGUAGUAGUAAACUUUAACUGCCACUAAAUUUUGUUUGAACUUGAUUUCACAAUUAUUUCUCCUUCACGUUGAUGCUUUCAUAAAUUGACAUUAGAGUUUUUGAAUCAUAAAAUUUUGACGUUGUAACGGGCCUUUUCAGCAUAUUUGUGUGUGGGCGCUUGAUAAUGUUGGAUUUGUGUGCAGCAUGCUCCAUUUGUCCGGUCCGGUUAGUCUCAGGUACAUGGUGAAAAUAUAUCUUUGUGAGUACUAGAGAUAUGAAAUGGGUAAAAAUUAAAAGAUCCGCGGAAUUUAUUACCAUUCCCCUCAACAGGUCCACCAACGCGGCAUGCUCAUGUUGUCGUGCGCAGCCGCUUUGUCGCCAAUGCCGACCGGGUUGCCAGAGGAGGAAGAGGGCAUUGUAAAGGCCUUUUCUUCUGUCGAUUUCGAUUGCUGAGAUACGCACGGGAACGGUGAUAUAUAGUGACUAUAGCUAUUUCUUAUCUGAUCUGUUUGUGGGCUGUGGCUUCCUGUUGGAAACAAGAAUGUUUCCACCCUUCGCAUUCCUCCCACCUUAACUAAUGUGAUCUUGGCUGGAAGAUGGGAAUCAUAAACUUUUAAAGUUCUAACGGCACCUUUUAGGGAUAUUUGUGUGUUGGACACUCGAUAAUAUUGGAUUUGUGUGCAACACACUCCAUUUGUCCACUCAGUCUCGGCACACGGUGAAAUUAAGUCUUUGUCCAGAACACCAGGGGCGGAUCCGGGACUUCAGGGAGGGGGCUCAUCCUCCUCUUCUAACUCCCUCCUCUCUUUCUCUUCUUCCUCCUCCUCCUAUUCACCCAUGGAUGAAAUUUUUAAGGGGUCUUUAGGGGCUUCAUGGGAUGCAUGGAGAUAGGAGAGCUCCAGCAGUCCAGACCCCAUAGUGGAUCCACUCCCGCACAACACACUAUAGUCACUCCCCUUCCACUUUCUCCCCCGUUCACAAGCUCCAUCACGUCUCCCUCUCACCUCCUGCCCCCACGAGCGCCUCCAGCCUAUCUCGAGUGCAGCUCCAAUGCCUUGGUGUGCCAGCGUCCAUGGUACGCCGGCUAGCUAGCUUCUGCUUAUUUGCAGCGCCUUGUGUGCUGCACCUGCACAUGAAGCCGAUAUAGCUGCAAGUGCUGCACACUUCUACCCAGCUGCAACUGCUGGGCUUGAUGUUGGCUGGCUGCAUCUGCUAUAUAUAGGUGCUGCUAGCUAGCUGCUGCCGCGGCAGCCCUAGCGGACGCUGCAACUAGCACUACUGAAUCCUUGUGUGCAACAACUCUAAGCCUCAGCUAGCAAGUCACACGAGCCUGAGCAAACGUGCGCGUGAGAGAGCCGAUUGAGCGUCACGGGACAUAGGUUCGCUUGGGUGGCCACACGGCACAAAUCUAAGUUAUGUGACCGUGUCAGCUAAUUAAUACAAACUUUUUGCUUGUUGUUCUCGCACGUGUUCAUAUAUACGCAGGGCUACAUCUGCCUCGUGAGCGGCCUCAAGUUCAACGAAGCGCUCGAUUACUGCUUCUCCAGGGGGAUGGAACAUGCCUACCCUUUGCCUUCAUCCCACCUUAACUAAUGUGGUCUGGGAGCCUAGGAUGGGAACAAUUUUUUUGAAGUUAUAAUAACGAUGGUCAAAUUUUGUGCGUGAGACACUUAAACAUUGGAUUUAUGCACAACACAUUUCACUCUUCCAUCCUUGUGUGCAACAACUCUAAGCCUCACCUAGCAAGUCACACGAGCUUGAGUAAACGCACGUGUGAGAGAGCAGAGUGAGUAUCACGGAGAUAUAGAUUCACUAGCCACAUGGCACAAAUCUAGGCCAGGUCCUCACACUGUUGGAUGAUUGACCUUUUGUACCAGUUGGGAAACCCCAUUUAGUGCCGGGUGCCCGACCGGUACCGGGCAGCUCAAUCGGCACUAAACUUAGUACCGGUUGGUUUUACAAACCGGUACUAAAAUUUUAUUCAUUUACUUGUUUUCCUUUUGUUUUAAUUUGCAUUCGUAUCCGUUUGCAUAUACUAAUAAUAUUACGUUAAUAUAUCAAACCAUUCAAAUUCAAGCCUCACAAGUUCGUACAUCAAUACUUAAGGUCUUAAAGACAAUAAGUUCAAAUCCAUAUGAAAAGGGUAUGAGUACAUCCAUGUACGCUACAUAUUUUAUACUUCACUUCGCUUCCUUAGAUAUGCGGCAUAGUUUAAGUCUCCAAUCUUAAAGAACUUCAUCAAUAUAAACUAGAGCAUGAAUUAGUGCACUCUCUAUCGCUUCACAUGGAUGGUCACAUCCACUACCAUAAAUCUCAAACAAUGGAGAGGUAAACUCAUAUGGCCUAUAGAAAGUGAGAUGAGCCUAGAGCUUGAAAUUUCUGAUGCGUACCGGGUUUCCAUCAGUGUAACUAUAAUUCAACACAUCCAAGACUUGAGCCAGAAUAGCAUGAAAGCUCAUUGCUGCAAUGGUUUGACCAAAGAGAUCCUAAAAGAUGAGAAUAGCAUGAUGAAAGUUAAAAGAUGUAACAUAACUAAAGAUAAAAAGAAUGAUUAGACAUGUUCCAUACCAUGUCAUGUUGAUUUAGUUGACAAAGCCUCUCAGUAGUCAUAAUCACGUUGCUUUCUCCCUCCUUGAACGCCUUUAUUCAAAAAUAUGAGAAGUCUGGCACAUAGUACCCAUUAUCCUUAAGCUGUUGUAGGCAGGCGUGGACUUUUCAAAAGUCUACCUAAUUGGUGCUUCCUUACUCCAUCAGCAAUUCAUAACAUUGAGAUGGCCUGUCCUGGUCGUAUCGAGUUGGCCUGUCCUCCUCGAAUCAGGUAGUUCAAAAGAGAUCUUAACUCAUAGCAAAUUACUUGUACCAAUACCUCGGAUUGCACUAAAGGAGUAGUACCGCCUAGAGCUUUGACAACAUCUUUGAGCCAUCUAAUAGGGUUGAUAAGCUACAUUGUAUGAGAGUAAAUUUAUGAAUUAUUCAUGUGCAGUACAGAAAACUAAUUACAAGAAGGAAAAAUAUUACUAUGUUGGGUUUUGCUCCUUGGCUUUGAUUGCCGGUAGGCAAGUCAAUGACGCCAUUAGGGAAUAUUUUUUAAGUUAUAAUAACGAUGGUCAAAUUUUGUGCGUGAGAUACUUUAAUGUUGGAUUUAUGCAUAGCACACUUCACUCAUCCAUCCUUGUGUGCAACAACUCUAAGACUCAACUAGCAAGUCACACGAGCCUAAGCGUGAGAGAGCUGAGUGAAUGUCGCGGGGACAUAGAUUCGCGUGGGUGGCCAUAUGGCACAUAUAUAAGCCGGGUUGUCAUGUCAUGGUGAGCUCUUUGUAGACCAUCCCCACCUAAUUUUCUUCCUUAAUUUGAAUUGGUCUUGGUGCUACUAGGAAAGCGCAUAAACCCGCCAUUGGAAAGGCUAUGUGAUCGUGUCAGCUAAUUAAUAGAAACUUUUGCUUGUUGUGUUCGCACGAGUUCAUAUAUACGCAAGGCUACAUCUGCCUCAUGAGUGGCCUCAAGUUCAACCUAAGAAGUGAAGUGCUCGAUUACUGCUUCUCCAGCGGGAUGGAACAUGCCUACCCUUUGCCUGAGGUCUUGGAGCCUGGGACGGGGAACAAUUUUUUUGAAGUUAUAAUAACAAUGGUCAAAUUUUGUGCGCGAGACACUCUAACAUUGGAUUUAUGCACAACACACUUCACUUGUCCAUCCUUGCAUGCAACAACUCUAAGCCAAAGCUAGCAAGUCACACGAGCUUGAGUGAACACGCGCGUGAGAGAGCCGAGUGAGCGUCACUGGGACGUAGAUUCGCUUGGGUGGCCACACAGUACAAAUCUAAGCUGGUCCUCGUUGUGAGCUCUUUGUGGACCGCCCCCAUCUAAUUUUCUUCCUUAAUUUGCAUUGGUCUUGGUCUGCUAGGAAAGUGCAUAAAACUGUCAUUAAAUAGGGCUAUCUUACCAUGUUAGCUAAUCAAUACAAACUUUUUAUUGUUGUGUUCGCACAUGUUCAUAUAUAUGCAGGGCUAUAUCUGCCUCAUAAGCGGCCUCAAGUUCAACCUAAGAAGCGAAGUGCUCGAUUACUGCUUCUGCAACAGGAUGGAACAUGCCUACCUUUUGCCUUUAUCCCACCUUAACUGAUGUGGUUUGGGAGCUUGGGAAGGGAACAAUUUUUUUUAAGUUUAAUAACGAUGGUUACAUUUUGUGCGUGAGACACUUUAACGUUGGAUUUAUGCAUAGCACACUUCAAUCGUCCAUCCUUGUGUGCAACAACUCUAAGCCUCGGAUAGCAAGUUACUUGAGCCUGAGUAAACGUGCAUGUGAGAGAGCCGAGGGAGCGUCACGGGGACGUAGAUUCGCUUGGGUGGCCACACGGCACAAAUCUAGGCUGGGUCCUCAUGGUGAUCUCUUUGUGGACCGACCCAAUCUAAUUUACUUCCUUAAUUUGCAUUGGUCUUGGUUCUGGUAGGAAAGUGCAUAAAGCCGCCAUUGGAGAGGCAGCUAAUUAAUACAAACUUUUCAUUGUUGUGUUCACACAUGUUCAUACAUACGCUGGGCUACACCUGCCUCAUGAGCGGCUUCAAGUUCAACCUAAGAAGCUAAGUGCUCGAUUGCUGCUUCUCCAACAGGAUGGAACGUGCCUACCCCUUGACUCAAUCCCACCUUAACUAAUGUGGUCUGGGAGCCUGGGACGGGGAACAAUGAUUUUAAAGUUAUAAUAAUGAUGGUUAAAUUUUGUGCGUGAGACACUUUAAUAUUGGAUUUAUGCACAGCACACUUCACUCGUUCAUCCUUGCGUGCAACAACUCUAAGCCUCAGCUAGCAAGUCACACGAGCCUAAGUAAAUGUGCGCGUGAAAGAGCUGAGCGAGUGUCGCGAGGACGUAGAUUCGCUUGGGUGGCCACACAGCACAAAUCUAGGCUAGAACCUCAUGGUGAGCUCUUUGUAGACCGUCCCUACCUAAUUUUCUUCAUUAAUUUGCAUUGGCCUUGGUUCUGCUAGGAAAGCACAUAAAACCGCCAUUGAACAGGGCUAUCUGACCGUGUUAGCUAAUUAAUACAAACUUUUGCUUGUUGUGUUCGCACAUGUUCAUGUAUACGCAAGGCUGCAUCUGCCUCGUGAGCGGCCUCAAGUUAAACCUAAUGAGCGAAGUGCUCGAUUACUACUUCUCCGGCGGGAUGGAACAUGCCUACCCUUUGCCUUCAUCCCACCUUAACUAAUGUGGUCUAGAAGCUUGGGAUGUGGAACAAAAUUUUUACAAUUACGAUAGUCAAAUUUUGUGCGUGGGACACUUGAUAAUGUUAGGUUUAUGUACAUGACGCUUCACUUAUCCAUUGACACACACCAUGAAAAUAUCUCUCUGUCCCCUCGACUUCCACUCUCUCCCCGUCCACAAGCUCCACUCCCUCUCUCGCCUCCUACCCCACAAGCACCUCCAGCCUAUGUCGUGUGCAGCUCCCCUAGUUGCCUUGGUGCGCCGGCGUACAUGGCAUCCUGGCUACGCCGAUGAUAGCGACUCUUAGCUAUUAUUUCUGCCUAGUGAUGGGCCUGCACCUACUUUGUUCCUCCAACUCAUCGUUGCCUCCCAUGCCACGGCACGAUGAUCAUUGCAGUGGCGCUCGCCACUUGUGCCAAGCCACCGAGGUGUGCAGUGCAGGCGCCAUGGCUAUAUGUCACAUAUGAGACAUAUAGCAAUCUAUCACAUACCAGCGGGACCCACCCGUUAUUGACAGGUUCCUCCUGCUUCCUCUUCCUCUGUCCCGAGCCCAUCCACUCUCCCCUUCCCCGCUGCUUCCUCCUCUCCCUUCGGUCACCUCCAGCGCUGCUAGGGUUAGGGGCUUCGAGCUUCGGGGUUGCCGGGGGAGGUCUAAUGGCCGCUGGUACUAGAAAAAUGGGUGGGGAUGGGAGGGGAGACCUGCGGUGGAGGUGGGUUGUGGGGCGGUGUGGCGCGGCGGCGGGGACGCCACCGGUCGGGUCCAACGGCUUGAUUGCCGGUGGGCCAAGGAUGGGCCGGGGCGAGGGUUAUGAUGGUGGAGGUGAGCUCCUAGUGGAGCCAGGUUAGGGUGGCGGAGGGUGGUGGCGGGAGCCGUCGGAGCCGGAGGAGGAAGGUGGCACGGGGGUGACGAGCUAGGUUAGGACGACGGAGGGUGUUGGCGGCGGAUGCGGCUGCGGGAGCCGCUGGAGCUGGAGGAGGAAGGUGGCGCAGGAGUGAUGCUAGUGGGCCGUCACUGAAGGCAACAACGGCAGAUUUGUUGCCUUCAGUGAAAUAUAGAACCACCCCGCGCAGGCUCGCGAACGUCAGGGCCGGGGCGGCACCCAAGGGUGGUGGAGUUGCUGUUGCUGCAGUACAUGGUGAUGGGCGCCUCAACGUGUUGGGUAGCUGGAGUUCUACGACCAGGCGCCAGUGAACAGCUUUCCCCUUUUUGUUUACGUCGUCAAGAAACCAAUUUACUUCCUUAAUUUGUAUAUUGUUCUAGUUCUUCUAGAAACCUGUCUAAAAUCACGAUUGAAUAUGGCUAUCUGACCGUGUCAACUGAUUAAUACAAACUUUUACAUGUUGUGUCCGCGUGUGUUCAUAUAUACGCAGGGCUAUAUCUGCCCCGUGAGCGACCUCAAGUUCAACCUGACGAGCGAAGUGCUCGAUUACUGCUUCUCCGGUGCUGCCUUCCUCAUUCCUUAAUUAACGUGGUCUGGGCUGGAAGCCUCGGACUGGGAACAAAAAAAAAAGUUGAAGUUAUAACGGCGGCGGUCAAAUUUUGUGUGUGGAGCACUUGAUAUGCUGGGUUUAUGCGCAACACGCUCCACUGGGUAGUCUCAGACAUACCGUGAAAAUAUCUCUAUGUCCACGACACAUUAUAGUCACUCGAAAGACCAUAUUAUCUUUCUGUCUCCACGACGGGGCUCCGCCUCCUCACACGGCUCCAAGGCGCCAACCUCUGCUCCGACGGUCCGGCCCUACACGUCGCUACUCCGUCACAGAUGGCCAAGCUCCGGCACUCGUUUCCUCCUCUCCUGCGCUACCACGGCACGAUGAUCGCUGGAGUGGCGCUCGCCACUUGCGCCAAGCCGCCACCGAGGUGCACAGCGCAGGCUCGCAACGUCAGGGCAGGGCCGCCCGGCCGGGACGGCACCCAAGGGCAUCGUGUUGCAGCUGCCGCAGUACAUCAUGUACACGGUGAUGGCUGCCUCAUCAAGCCUUCAACAUGUUGGCCUUGGGUAGCUGGAGUUCUACGCCCAGGCGCCUUGGAUGACGGGUGGACACAAGGGACAAAGAAAGAGAGAGGGAGGGCAUACAAAUCAUUUUAUUAGCUGAAGUGUCCUGGAGACAAAAAUCAUGUACUCGCGGUGUGUGCAUGAGGCUAACUCGACGAAUGGAAAUACUUAGUCUAGGAAUUUAUACAGUACAGUAAAAAAAAGUUACCCACAACUGCUACUGAAAAUGUGCUCCUACACCAGUAGGACUGGACUGGGCAGCUCGCAUAAGCAGUAGUACUUGCGGACAUACAUCGAACAAAGACAAGAAACGAUUUAAAAUCAGUACUUUAUUUAACAUUUUCACAACGGGAGGAAUUGAAGGUUUCACUGGACUUGAUGCUCUAUUGGUAGGCUAUAGAGCUUCCAUUCACCAGCCAUGGCACCUCAGUUAGCCCGGCCGACCGCCGUCCCCCUUGCGCAGCUGCUGCAAUCCACGUCCUAUUUCCGCGUCCAACUUUGCUACUUCCUUCUCCAGUUCCUGUUCAAAAAAAAUUGUAAUUAAACAACUAAGCUACUAGGUCUCGAAAGAAAAUUAGCAAUGCAUAAGAAACACACUGACACUGAGUCACUGAUGACAGUUCGCUAAGAGUACCUUUGAUUUAUCAACUUUCAUAAGGACACCACUUUUCUCGGCCAAUGAUCCAUCUAUUAACUUGGAGCCUGAGCUUAGUAGAACCAUUUGUGUCAUUCUUGUGCUCUUCUCAAGCAGUGCAUGUCCAAGUUUCAUUGUGUCUUGUGACCUCUCCAGUUGAUGCAAGUGCGCUUUCUUAACGUCAAUCUGGGUUUCCAAUAUAUCCACAACCUUCAUGGACACAGGGAAAAUAAGAUGCAUCACUAAAUUUUAUCUGAACUUGAUUUCACAGUUAUUCCUUGAUGAUGAUGCUUUCAUCAAUCGACAUUAGAGUUUAGAACUCCACCGUCUCAGUUUCAAUAGAAAUCCACUGAAAUACGAGUACGUCAUUUUCCUGAGGAGCUAAACCAAUAUAUGAUGCAUUAUUUACACACUAGAAAGGAGAGUUAACAGAUUUCUAACAAAGUUCCGAUCACAAUUCGCAAGCUUACAUCCUUUUGGGAACCUUCCAUGUCAGUUAUGAGCUUCUCGUUCAACUUCGUCGGAAAGUCCAUUUCUUGAGGCAUCUUGGGAUCUUAAUCUGCACGCAGAAAGAAAAAAAAAAGAGUCGCAAGCCGUUAAGUGUUCAGAAUAGUGGUUCUCCUCCUGGGCAACUCAGCAUCUUUUGCACGCAGAAAACAAAAAUCCAAAGCCAUUAAACUACAGUAUGUCAGAGAGGAUUAAUUUAAAAAACAUGCAAAUAAAUCAGAGUACGAGUUCAGAGUAGUUCUUUGUGGAUUUAUCAUGAUUGCAAGGUACAAAUGAAGAUCAUAUAUCGGAGCAUUAGAUUACUGACACAGAACACCAGAUUGAGCAGAUAGUAGGCUACUCCUGCAGACCGAGAGUGACUGGUACAAAUUAAACUAGCAAGGUGAUGAAACCUCGAUCUCUUACCACCACCGCCACCACCGGCACCAGGUUGGUUGACGCUACCGCGCACGCUCUGGUCACCGAGCACACCGACCUCGCCGUCGCCGUCUCCGCCGGCAAGGCCCGCCGCUGCAGCGGAGGAGGAAGAGGCCAUCAGGAGAUGGUGCUUGGUAAGGUGCGGUGGAAUGGGAGCAGUGGUGCUGGCUUUAUAGGCCACUUCGUCUCUGUCCUCUGUUCUCUGGCCUCCCAACCCUCCAGCUUCCGCAUUUCUUUAUCGGUUAAUGCGGUUCAGUUUUUCUCUGGCAGCCAGAAACCUUGGAAACUGUCCGUGUUUGCCAUUUUCUUUUUGAGAUCACAAUCGAUUAGCAAAGAAGUCCGGAAGUCUAACGCUAACGCCGAUGCAUGCUUGCGAGCUGUCGAGUUCUCUGUACUAAACUUUAAGCACUCUGCAGAAGCCAGAUAGUUCAGUCAAAUGCUACAUUCUAUCUAAGGCUUAAUGGCAACUUUUUUGUAACUUCUUUUUUAAUUCAGGAAUAUGCUCGACAAUCUGUCCAUGUAGGCUAUCAUUAUCAAACACCUACACGAAUAGGAUUGUAGCGUUCACUCAUCCUACUUCCAUUCAUCCAGCAUGUACGAUGUGCACCUACACGAAAGCAACCAAACACACCCUUCGUUCAUCUUCAGAGCCAGAAGAGUAUAGGUAGCGGUCUUCCGGGGUCAGUCAACCAAAUGCUAGGCGUCAGGAUAGCCUUACCAGAGUUUACUCCUGCAAAAACAAUCACGUCAACAAAUUCACGUGCUACCUCCACCACCAUACGAACAAAGCAAGCGCUAUCUUAAUGAUGUGAUAUGAGAUUCGAACAGCAACAGUCAAAAAGUCUGUUGCUCGGUACUCUGCUUAGUAUCAAGAGGUGUUUGGGAUACAAGUUGCUAAACUUUAGCAGAAUCAUAUCGGAUAUUCGGAUGCUAAUUAGGAAGAGUAAAUAUGAUCUAAUUACAAAACUAAUUGCACAGAUGGAGUCUAAUUCGUGAGACGAAUCUAUUAAGCCUAAUUAGUCCAUGAUUUGACAAUGUGGUGCCACAGUAAAUGAUGGAUUAAUUAGCUUUAAUAGAUCUCGCGAAUUAGACUCCAUCUGUGCAAUUAAUUUUAUAAUUAGACUAUGUUUAAUACUACUAAUUAGUAUCAAACAUCCAAUGUGACAGGUGCUAAAGUUUAACGGGAGUAUCCAAACCACCCCUUAGAUCAUAUGCCAGUGCUACCAAUAGAAACGUGUCAUUAAUUCAAUCAGUCAGUGGCAAAUUAAUACACAGUAAGCAUCAUCAAACCGAGCAUACAGAUGCUAGAAAUAGGUAAGCAUGAUUAGCCGGUUACACAUGAACGAUCAGAUGAUCGCACACAAGAGAAAGCCAAGCAGGCUACUACAUAUGCACACCUGCACAGCAUGAGGCAGAGUCUUGCUUCGCUAUCUCCAUGACACCAACAAAGUUGUGAUCUUCGAUUGCGUCCGAGAUAUACCGAUAUUUAGACAAGUCGGGUCUGCUAUUCCAAUAGAAGCCUUUCAUGAGGAAACUUUCCCGCCGGUUUUGGUGUCGCUCCUAUGUUGUUUAUUUUUCUUGAAACUUGACUUUGACUUGCGACCGGUAACCAUGAGAUCACAAAUUCUCAUGUCUACCUCUGUAUCAUCAAAGCCAAUAUCCGAGACAUCUUGGACCUGCUGUGUCGUAGCCAUCAGCUGUUUAGCUGAAGCCUUCUCGGACUCUGCCUCUUCAAUUUUCUUCUGAGUGCGUUCCAGGUAGGCAGCAUAGGCUUGCAGCAAACAGAAGAUCAGUAAAUUGGUUGAAAAGGCCAUCAUAUGUAUACAAAUUAUAUAUAUACCCAAAAAAAAAGCCUUACCAGCAAUCUCCUUCUUGAGAGCUGCCUUGGUCUCAACAAGUUUACGGUCCAUAGCCAUCAGCUGGUCAACGGCAGUCUCCGAUUUGGUCACUUGAGUUUGGAGAUGGCCGAUCUCCUCGAAGUUAGAUGCAGCUUGGCAAAGGAUUGCCUGCAAAACACGUGUAAGAAAAAGAAAAAGAUCAACAACUUGACUACAGGUCAUACCUCUGCUUGCUUGAGGCACGGAACAGACUCCAGAAUAAUGUCCCCGGAGUUUUUGGUCCCAAUAUCAGUGCAUCCAUUGAGCCCGUCAUUCAAGCCCUGAGAAGUUGACUGAACUGUUGGAAUGUGGAAAGUUUAAAGAAGAGAUGGGCUCAGUGACAAUGUUGAAAUCUAUUCAGAUGAACAUGGAGUUACGAGAUACGCAGAGAAAAUCCAUAGGCAGAAUUGCAGAUGAAAUGGAGUUACAAGAUACACAGAUGAACAUGGAGUCACAAGUUUACUCGGCCAAGUUUUUUUUUGAAUUUUCUAAAAAAUGUAUCACAUACUCCAGAUGAAUAAAUAUGGACACUUCAAUGGACAGUUGGCUUACUUUUGACUAAUCUUCAGUUUUUCUAUUGACACCAAUUUUCUCAGCCAAUGAUGCAUACACCAAGUUGGAGCUUGAGUCUAAUUGUUUGAAAGUGGGAAAGAAAACGAACUUUGUCAUAAUGCCUUUGGUGCACAGCCCAAAAAAAAACAAAGCUGAACAAUGAAUAUUAGGGCUGGCUAUGCUUAAAACCAACCUGCUUGCAUAAACAAGUGCACAUCAGACCAAAAUAAUUUGGCAAUACUUGAAAAGGGUUAAACCCUAUUACUCAGGUAACCUAUAAUAGCUAUAUUAAAAAUUUCAGCAUCAAUACUUUUAAGGAUUUUUUGUAACUAUAUUUUGAAGGUUUGAUGGAACUGGAUCAAUUGAAAAUAUGUGAUGCAUGGCAUAAAUAUAACUGAUGAUUCUAUUUUGGUGAAUUUUGAGAAACUUCCCAUCACCAUACAUACAAAAAGGGGCAUGUAAAAAGAUUGUAUACCUUCCACAGACGACUUGACCUCCUCAGGCUGUGGAAUUGGAAAGAAUGUUCUGUACAGCUCCUCAAGUUGCAGCAAGUCCUUUCUCUUAGUGUCAAUCUCAUUUUCCAGAAUCUUCAUAAUCUUCAUAAUCUUGAUUGAUAACAAGAAAAGUUACAGCAAAUUAGACAUUUCUACUCUACCUCCAGAACUUAGUAAGCAUUCACAAACUUCUAAUGAACCAUGAUUUCAUUUUGAUUAGCCCAGGUUUACAUUGAACUAACCCUUCAUCCAUGGUACAAGUGUAAUAAACAUAGGAGGUCUCAGGUCUAGUGUUGUGAUUCUCUUCUUCUUAAGCGAAUGGCCGAGCUCCUGCGCUUCCUUUAAAAGAAAUUACUAAAUGAAAUCUUACAUGCUUAUAGAGGCCUUGCAGCUCCUUAUUCCACUUCCUCAUGCUAUCGUUGAUCUUGGCCUGCAACUCCUCAUUCCCCUUCGUCAGGCCAUCAUCCUUGGCCUGCAGCUCCUCAAUCCGCUUCGUUAGGCUGUCAUUCCUGGCCUGCAGCUCCUUGUUCCCCUUCGUUAGGCUUCCAUUCUUGGCUUGCAGCUUCUCACUCCGCUUCCUUUGGCCGUCAUUCUCUGCAUGCACCUCCUCAAUCCGCACCAUGAGGCCGACAUUCUUGGCUUGUAGCAUCUCAGUCUGCUUCCUGAGGCCAUCAUUCUUGGCUUGCAGCUCCUUAUUCUGCUUCAUCAGGUCAUCAAUCUUGGCUUGCAGCCCUGCACUCCACUUCAUUAGGCCGGCAUUUUUGGCAUGCAGCCUCCUGUUCUGCUUCAUCAUGACAUCACUAAUGGUUUGCAGCUCCGCUAGGCUGACAUUCUUGGCUUGCAGCUGCUCAUUAUGAAUCACUAGCCCAUCAUGCUUGGAUUGCAGCUCCUCAUUCUGUUGCAUCAGGCCGUCAUUGUUUGCUUUCAACUCAUUCUGGAUAGUUAGGCCGCCAUUUUUGGCUUUUGGCUCCCCAUUCACCAUCUUCAUGCCGUCAUUACUGGUUUGCAGUACCUCAUUCUGCUUCACCAGGCCACCAUUAUUUGCUUGCAACUCCUCAUUCUGCUUCACCAGGCCAUCAUUCUUGUCGUACAACUCCUCAUUCAGCUUUCUCAUUCCAUCAUACUUGGCCUGCAUCUCCUCAUUCUGCUUCCUCAAGCACUGUAUCUCUUUCACUUUCACAGCCAGCUCAACUCUCAGCUUCUGAUUCGCCUCACAGUAUCCAAGCUCUUUCACAUCCUCAUCUAGUUGAGCCCUCAGGUCUUUGAUCUCCUUUAAAAUUCUCUGAGAAUCCUCACACACCACCGUCAAAUGUUCUGCCCAUGGGUGACAAAUAUUAAAGCCAGCAUGAAGAAGAGCGUGAAUGAUUGAAGUGGCUUUUCAGUAACACGUACCUCCAUUCCCAACCAGACUGCCCAAAUCUCCGGACAGAACCGCGGCUUUCCUCUUUCUGCUUCCAGAUUCUGCCCCAAGAUCCUGACCUGCUGCAGCUGCAAAAACAAAGAAAUGAUUUCCCUUGAGUAAGUGUAAGCUAGAUACCCCAUUUCAGGUGCAGCAAGGCGAGUAAUGUAGUACGAGUCUGUUCCUGAGAAUAUUACACAUCACUGCUGACCACAAACAAAGACAGUAAAAGGAAUGAGAGAAUGAGAUGGCUGAACACAAACUGAUUUGUUUCAACAAUAAGAAGUGUCAACAAAACUGAUGAUCCAAGCAACCGAUUAGAGUCAGUCGACAUAUCGUGUCAGCAUUCAGAUACUCUGCAUGCUUGAUUUUGACCAAUACUCACAGUUGAUUUCACUUGACAUUUGCCUUAAUUCAAGCGCGAUUGCUCCCCGGUAGCCGUAUCACGCCACUAUACUCCUCUAUUUCCACAAGUUCCACCAUUCAGACUAUUACUCCUGAAGGCCAAAAGGUCUCGAAUCGAAAGAGUAUGCGACCCUCACCCAAGGUCGCAGGAAAUGAAAUGAAGGGAAUGAGCAAUCCGGUAUUCGAAAUGCAUGACAGAUCAGACUAGGUAUCCACGCCGCUCGACCGCAAAGAACAACAGGGAAGUGUAGCUAAACUGAAAUGCAGGGAAGUAGUACAAGCAGAUCAAGGGCUCCAGGCACCCUCGCAAACAAAAAUAAAAAAUAGAAAAAGAAAUGUGAUCAGGUGGGAGAAAGAGAAAUCGUGGCUUCUCUUACCACCAGCAGCACUUGGAUCGACUCCACGGGGGAUGGGCCGCCCGCCGCCCUCUCCCGCCCCGUCGUCUCCGCCGGCGGGGGCCAUGGCUACGGCGGAGGAAAGAGUGGUGUUUUUCUUUGUUGCCUCGCUUGCUAACGGCAGGCCACGGGGGUGCGACGUGUCACUUGUGAGCUCUCUGCCUCUCUGCGCCUGUCUCUCGAGUAUCCACCUCCCACUCUCCCCAAUAAAAAAUAUUUUUUAUGCUCUCUUUCCAAAAUAUUGUUUAUGCUUUGAUUGCCUACUUAACGCAAAGUACUCCUCUAUCUACAAAUGAGACACCGAAGAGAGAGAGAGAGAGAGAGAGAGAGUGCAUGGCAUUAACUGCACAUUUUACCUGAAAACGAUUGAGGGUGCCAUGAACAGACAUGUCUACAUACAUACAUCAUUAUCAUUGUGUCAAACUCUAAAAUAACUUACCGAAUGCAUUUGCAGUCGUGGGGAAUAUUUCUAGAACAAUUUAAAUUGCAUUUAAAAACUCAUAUAAGAAAAGAAGACAUUGCAUAUACAAUGGAAUGGAAUACCAUGUUUGAAUGCAAAACUGAAUCCCUGCAAUGGAACUGGGGUUUUUUUUUCAAAGAAAAAACAAAAAAAUUGCUCAUCUCACAACAGUAGGCGUCAGUGUAGCCUUAUCAGAGUUUGCUCCUGCUAAAACCAUCACCAUAUGUCCAUAACCCCUCAUGCACGCUCUGAAAUGAGAUACCUCAACCACGCAAGAACACAACGGCUUAGUAAUCAGAUGCAAUGCAAGUGCCACCAAUAGAAACUUGUUCUCCAAUGCAGACAGUCAGUGGGAAAUGCCACUGCAUUGAUUUUACAAAGAAAAAAAUGAAUACUCCAAAAUGAUCAGAUGAACAUGUAUCAUCGGACCAACACCAGGUAGCUAAAUUACGGUACAAAUGCUGUAAAUAGGCAGCAUGAUAAGCCGAUUACGCAUGAAUGCUCAGACGAUCGCACACAAUUGAAAGCCAAGCAAGGCCACAGCACUUGCACCACACCUGCACAAUAAUACAAUAUACAGACACCUAGGAACACAAAGGCAACGGGUUGGUGUCAUUCAGUUCACCGAUCACAUCAGUUUUCAGGACAGAAAGCGGCAACAACACCACCACAUGCACACAUCACAUACGCUUGUAAUGUCUCUAGGCAAAGGGAGAACACAGAGGAUACAUCUCCUACCUCAGGAGUCAGGAGGGGGGAUCCAGCAGCACAGCUGCACGCGGCUCCCACAAAAGCACCAAUGGCGCGCAUGCACUACUACUUAGUGGCUUGGUGGGCUUGAGGACCCUGUGUUGUUUCACGUUUCAUCUGCCCAAACAGGUGCUUGAGGACCUCCUCCAUCGUCGCCCUCCAGCCUUCCCCAAAGUUCCAGAGCUCGGGCACCACAUAACGCCCGCUGGGGUUGUACUCGUUCAUCUCCAUCAGCGCGGCCUUCACUGCAUUGCACACAUCCUCGCCAUACUCGAUCAGCAGGAACUUCAGUUUUGGAUCAUCGUCAUCUAGAAAUUCCUGCAACAAAGUAGGAUGACUAUGAUUCCCAAACAAAUACUAGCCUCUACAAAUGCCAAAGAUAACACCAAACUUGGAUAGAAAAAUACAGUAAAUACCUUGUGUUCUCCAUUAACCUGAACAAUCAUAAAAGGAUGCCAGAAUGGGUUCUUCAAUUCCUCCUGCCAAGUUGAGACCAACUCUGCUGCUCUCAUCUGGUAAUCGUCGUCUCCAUAUUUUCUCUUACAUGCAUCUUGAAAUGGCUUCUCGUUAAGUUCUCCCAUUCUUUUGAUCCCAAUAGCUCUCUGCCCAUUUAACUCGUCUAAACCCUGAGGAUCACGAUAAUCAUUUCAUCAAUGAAAAACAGCUUAUGAACAUCUGCUGAUGGAGAACACGUUAGAUGCAUGGUAACUGUUAAAACAUUCACAAAAAUAAAACGAGCAGUACCACAAUCAACUCUUCAAACUUUCACGCUCUUUCCUCACAAGACAUCCGGUCAAAUCUUCCAGCCCGUCAUUAUUAGAUUCCAGCUCCUCAAUCCCAUUCAUCAGGCUACAAAUCGUGGCUUGCAGGUCCUCAUUCCUCUUCAUUAGUCCAUCAUUCUUGGCUUGAACUUCCUCACUCUGCUUUGUUAGGCCAACAUUCUUGGCUUGCAGCUCUCCAUUCCGCUUCCUCAUGCUGUCUAUAUUGGUGUGCAGCUCCUCAUUCUCCCUCGCCAGAUCGUCAUUCUUGGUUUGGAGGUCCUUAUUCUGCUUAGCCAGGCAAUCAUUCUUGGCCUGCAGCUCCUUAUUCUGCUUCACCAGGCCGACAUUCUUUGCUUGCAGCUCCUCAUUCCCCUUUGUUAGGCUUACAUUCUCGACCUGCAGCGCCCCAUUCCGCUUCCUCAUGAUGUCUAUUGGUUCGCAGCUCAUCAUUCUCCUUCACCAGAUCAUCAUUCUUGGCUUGCAGUUCCUUGUUCUGCUUCGCCAGGUCAUCAUUCUUGACAUGCAGCUCCUCAUUCUGCUUCCUCAUUCCAUCAUUCUUGCCUUGCACCUCCUCAUUCUGCUUCCUCAGGCACUGCAUCUCUUUCGCCUUCAGAACCAGCUUAACUCUCAGCUUCUCAUUCUCCUCAACCAGAUCAUCAUUCUUGGCUUGCAGGUCCUUGUUCUGCUUCGCCAGGCCAUCGUUCUUGGCCUGCAGCUCCUUAUUCUGCUUCACCAGGCCGGCAUUCUUUGAGUUCAGCUCCUCAUUCCACUUUGAUAGGCCGACAUUCUUGGUUUGCAACUCCCCAUUCUGCUUCCUCAUGCUGUCUUUAUUGGUUCGCAGCUCCUCAUUCUCCUUCACCAGAUCAUCAUUCUUGGCUUGCAGUUCCUUAUUUUGCUUCGCCAGGCCAUCAUUCUUGGCUUGCAGCUUCUCAUUCUGCUUCCUCAUUCCAUCAUUAUUGCCUUGCACCUCCUCAUUCUGCUUCUUCAGGCACUGCAUCUGUUCCGCCUUCUGAACCAGCUCAACUCUCAGCUUCUCAUUCGCCUCACAGUACCCAAGCUCUUUCACAUCCUUAUCUAUUUGAGCCUUCAGGUCUUCAAUCUCCAUUAAAAGCUUCUGAGAAUCCUCGUACGCCACCUCCAAAUGUUCUGCCCAUGGGCAACAAAUAUUAAAGCCAUGGCAUGAAGGGUGAAAGAUCGAAGUGGGUUUUCAGUAACACGUACCUCCAUUCCCAACCAGAUUGCUCGAAUCUUCAGACAUAACUGCAGCUUUCCUCUUUCUGCUUGCCCCAAGAUCCUGGCCUGCUGCAGCUACAAAAACAAAGAAAACAUUUGCUUUCAAGAAGUGCAAGCUAGAUAACCCACCACAGGUACAACUAGGCGUAUAAUAUAUCACAAAGUCUGUUCCUAAGCCUUACAUAUCACCGCUGAACACAACCAAACACAGUAAAUGGAACGAGAGAAUGAGAUGACCGAACAGAUACUGAUUCUUUUUCAAUAAAACUAAACAUAAAGAUGUGUCAACAAAACUGAUGAUCCAGGCAACCAAUUAGAGUUGACAUAUCGUGUGACAGCCUUCAGAAACUCUGCACGCUUGAUUUUGACUAAUUGUCGCAGUUGAUUUAACUUGGCAUUUGCUUUAAUUCAAAUGCGAUUGUUCCUUGUAGGCAGCAUCACGUCAAUAUACUCCUCUAUUCCUACAAGUUCCACCGCUCAGAUAGUCAGAUUAUUACUCCUGAAGGCCAAAAGGCUUGUGCCUCCAAUCGAAAGAGUAUGGUAUUCGAAAUGCAUAACAGAUCAGACUAGGUAUCCAAAUACACCGCUCGAUCGCAAAGAACAGUAGAGAAGUACUGUAGUAGAUAAACUAAACUGCAGGGAAGUAGUACUAGUAGCAGAUCAAACGCUCAAGGUGCCCUCCCGCAAACAAAAAGAAAAAAAAAUGUGAUUAGGUAAAAGAAAGGGGAACCACCAGCAGAAGCAGAACUUCGAUCAACACCACGGCGCAUGGGCGGCCCGCCGGACUCUCCAGUCUCGUCCCCUCCGCCGUCGGUGGCCAUGGCUACGGCUGCGGAGGAAGAGGGCACUGAUGAAGAGAUGGGGUUUUCUUUUUGCUUUCCUGCCUCGCUUGUUAACGGCACUACCGCACUAGUAGGUAUACAAACUACGCCACUCGACCGCAAAGAACAUCAUAGAAGUAGUAGACAAACUAAACUGCAGGGAAAUUGUAGUUGCAUAUCAAGGGCUUAAGGCACCCUUGCAAUUUGCAAACAAAAGUAGAAAAGAAAAGGGAAAUCGUUUCUUCUCUUACCACCACCAGGAGGAAUUCGAUCGACACCACGGCACACGGGCGACCCGCGGGACUCUCCCAUCUCGUCACCUCCCCGGCGGGGGCCAUGGCUACGGCGGCGGAGGAAGAGGGCACCGAUGAGAAGAGGGGGUUUUCUUCCUUUCUGCCACGCUUGCUAACGGCACUACGGCAGGGGAACGGCCCAAGGUGGGGUUCUGUGAGCUCUCUCGACCUUCCAAGAGACCCACAAGGCUGGUUUGGUUGGAGGCAAUUGAUGGGGGUAGAGAGAGUUUAGAUGCAAAAAAUUAAAAGUAUAUUGUUUGUUGUCUGUUUGGUGGGUUUAGGAAUUUUAAUUGAAAGAGUAAUGGGAGUUUAGAAAAGUAACUCUCACCGAUCACUUUAUAUGAAAGGGGUGGAAAUUUAUUUUAAGUGGAAGAUAGAUGAAUCUACACUGUUAAUCAUUACUUGAUAUAAUUUUCCACCUCUAAAGUCUAAAGCCCACACAAAACAAGAGAUAUGAAAAUCUCACUUAAAUUUCUACUCUUAAUUCCAUCCAAAAGACAAACAUGCAAUGGGACUUGUUGGGAUCUGGAUUUGAAUUGUAAACGUCACCCUCACAUGCCGCUUUAAAGAAUUGGAUCAUCACAAUGAUAAUCGAAAUAAUCUUCACCUUCGCUCAAAGGUAACACCCUCGUUUCCUUUUCUUACCUUCAUCACCUCGGCUGCGAGGGUGCGGGGAAAUUGUUUUGAUCGUGUCUGCAGGUACUCGCGCUGGAGGGCGUGAAGCGAAGGUAUUCGGCAAACUUAGAAGAGCGAGGCGAAGGUUGUGAGCACAUUCGAUGUCCAAAAUCCAAGGCCUAAGAUCAUUUGGGCGAAGGUGUGAAGGAUUAAGGUCACGUUGUGAACGUGACCCCGGUGAUAUGAAUAGCAUGACUCGGUUAGGGUGUACAAAUCGGAUUAGAACUCUUUCUUGUACAACAUAUUUUUGGAAUGUAAUGGUUAAGUGAGGGUAAAUUCGGUAUGUAAAAGUCGGUUGGCCUCCCUAUAAAAGGGGAGGCACCCCCACUGUACAAGGGUUCACAUUUUUUAGAAAUACAAGCCUUAAGAGUUUUGUUUUCCAUUUGUGUGUGCUUUCUUUAAGUUUUCGUUGAAGAGCUCACUCUAAACCAACAUUUUGGCGCCCAUUGUCGGUGUUUUACACUCGGCAACCUACCGAGGGUAUCCUUAGAUAGUAGAUUGGUUGGUGGGGGAUCGUCGGAUCUGGAACUUGAUGGUAAAAUCAAGGAGAUUUAUACAGGUACGGACCGCCAGAGUAGCGUAAUACCCUACAUCCUAUUUGGGGUGUUGUAUAUUGCGGCCCUACGCUUGGGUGUUGCUUGGUGUUGAGGAUUUGAUCCUCUGUUGUGGUUUUGCCGAUCUAGGUACCCCUACCCUCCUUUAUAUACUCCAAGGGGGGUGGGAUUACUAGUCGGUUACAAGGCAGAAGUCCUAUUAGAAUUAUAGGGUACGAGUCCUAAUAGAAUUACAGGGGAAUCCUAGGAGUCCGUCUUCUUCCUUCCUUGCAGAUACUAGGGAUUUAUCCCCGACAAGCCACCAAGCGCUUCAUAGUCGAAUGCAGUAGUCUUCAAAUACUUUGUAGAUCCUCACCAAGUAGUAUUAGUUCUCCUCGAGUAAUUUGUCUAGCUGAAUCUUCAAAGUUAUUUGAAGCUACCAUGAAAUUAUGGUGUGCUCAAGUCCUUGAUCGUCUUGAUUUCGUAAUCUUCAUCUUUGGAAUGUGAUAUGGAGGGCGGCGGAAGUUGCACUCCAUAUGGAGUAACCCCUGAGCCUUAGGUUGAAUCGAAGAAUCAGGCUAAGGGUCAAUAAAAUCUUGAAUCUUCUUCUUUUAUCUUGAAAAAAUCAACUACUGGGUGUAGCUUAUUAGCCCCCGAGCCUUGGAAUGAUUAAAUAAUCAAUCUGAGGGUUUUCAAUCUUCACAAAAUUAUCAUCUGAGUAGUUUCGCGGCAUUCAAACCCCAAGCUUUGGAGCUGGGUGAACCGUAGGAGCCACAUCGAGUAGUUAUUUGGCGCUUAGCCCCCGAGCUUGGAAGCUAGCUGAGCCAUUGGAGAUAUUACUGAGUACUAAUUGGUGCUUAGCCCCUCGAGUUUAGGAACUAGCUAAGCCAAUGGAGGUAUGCUGAGCGUCCUGGAGAGUCAUCGCCCAAGCUUGACCUAAAAAAUGAUGCAUAUAUUAUGUAGCGUAUUGUAAAUUUUGGAACUACUGAAAAUUAUUUAGUGAUGAAUAUAAUGUAAAUGUUGUGUACCAUGCUCUUGUUUCGGUCAUAUUUUUUUCGAGUAGUUAGCCUAUUACAUUUAGGCUCUCAGUCCCUGUUUAGCCAUUGCCACUGCGUGUGAGAUCUUUGUCUCGUGUACGCGUACUAGCACUGCUGCUACGGAGAUCUUUGUCGCCUAGCGUUUAGGCAUGACAGAAGAUCCGAGACUUUCACGGAUUAAGGUGUUUUCUACUCGAAGAGAUUAGCGACCGCUAAGAAGAGACAUUGAAAAUAAGUAGUUGGCAUUAUGAUAAUAAAAAGAGUGCACUUAAAGUAGUCGUUAAGACUUUUUCUGCCUUUUGGCGAGUAUAGCGCGUGUUGCCAUGCACAAUAUUUGUGCCUCCUUAGGGUGUAACCAAUGUGAGCCUCCAGCGCUCAGUCCAUCAAACUCGUGGCCAUAGCCUCCGAAAUUAAAUGUACCAAACCUAUGGUGGUGCCUCCAGAACUCAGUGCACCAAACCCGUGGCUAUAGCCUCUAUAAUUUUGUGUACCAAGCACAUGGCUGUCGGUCAACAUCCCCCAAGAGUAGUUGGCGAAGUGUAGCUCUAGAGGGUAAUUCUUGUCGAGAGAUGUACACAGAUAGGUAGCCAGCGUAUUGGCCAACCACGCUGAAAACAAGUCAGAGAAAAAAUAAUUAUUAAAAAAGUGAUUUAGCUUGAUUCAUGGGCGAUUGCCGAUGAAGCCAUGGCGGUCGUAGAUGAAGCCACGACAAUUUGUUGAUGAAGCCAACUAGUCGAAGUUGAUUCCAACUAGUUGUCGAUGGUGUGCGACCUGCCCUGACUAGUUUUUUAGUCGAGACGAGUAGUCGAAGUAGUCGUUGGCAAGUCGCGGGUCAAUUUUGUCGAAUGUAUCUAUGCGUGCUGAAACCGCAUACUGCUUUGCCAGAGAUUUGUUGGAGGUUACUAACCUUUAUUGGAGAAUCACCGUGUAGGGAACAGGUGCGGCUCUUUGUUGAUCUCGAUGCUUCCCUUGUGCUCCGUUUUCUUUUUUGCCUCUGCAUGUGAGUAGUAAUUUUCAACUAGUUGAAUUUUUAGCCGCACAGUAGGGACAACAGCCAUGCUCUGCUCCAUUUUGAUGUGUGUGCUGCUACUUGAUUCAACUUUCUGCAGACUUGAUUUUCUACCGAUAACGCAGUAGCUUGUGGAGAUGGAGUCAUUAACGAUUGGUGCAAGUACUCCUCUCCGCCUUGGACUUGAAGAAGUUGACUCCCCCUUGAAACAGAUGCCAGGUCCAACGGGGCCCGAAAAAAUUGAAUCUAUCUCGGAUUGAUAGCAGUAGUCUGCUCUCCGUUGUAAAUUGACUUAGACCAGUGACGCUGACUUCUUUUUUCCGGACUCUGGCGAAUUCCAAAGAUGCGAUGAUGCGCGUCGGCUCCUUCUCGGACUCGACGAGCAACAAAUAGAUUGAUUUUGUGGAUGAGGUCCUUCAAGCUCACCCGAUGAUCUCGACAAUCACCCCUACCUAGCGCGCCAGAUGUCGGUGUUUUAUACUCGGCAACCUACCGAGGGUAUCCCGAGGUAGUAGAUUGGUUGGUAAAGGAAUCGCCGGAUCAGGAACUUGAUGGUAAAAGUGGGGAAACAAGGCACAGAUUUAUACAGGUUUGGGCCGCCAGAGUAGGAUAAUACCCUACGUGCUGUUUAGGGUGUUGUAUAUUGCGCCCUGCGCUUGGGUGUUGUUUGGUGUUGAGGAUUUGGUCCUCUGUUAUGGUUCUGCCGAUCUAGGUACCCCUGCCCCUUUAUAUACUCCAUGGGGCGGGAUUACUAGUCGGUUAUAAGGUAGGAGCCCUAUUAGAAUUACAGGGUAUGAGUCCUAGUGGAAUUAUAGAGGAAUCAUAGUAGGAAUCCAUCUUAUUCCUUCCUUGCCGAUACUAGGAAUCUAUCCCCGACACCCACCAUUUGUGCUCGAGAAGAAUUCACGAUGGCUCCUGCUAGGAAGAAGAUAACGAUGGCAAAUUCAAGCAAAUCAAUCCCGAGUGAAGAAGCAAACCCUAGAGGCCCAAAUGCAAGCAUAAAUCAAGAAGCCAAAGGGAAAAUGGUGAGAAUCCCCCACAGCAAGAGACUACCACAGACCAGCAAGAAACAAGAGCUUCCAUUAAUUUGACUGCACAUGAAAUUGAAAUGGCUAGGCUCAGGCAAGAAGCGGUGGAAUUGAACCAAGCAAGGCAAAUAUUAAUAGAUCAAGCAACAUCGCAGGCCGCUAAAGAGGUGCAACUAGCUAGAGACGAAAUCAAGAGAUUAUGUGAGUGGAAUUGGAACGACUCAAAGAAAAGCAAGUUCAUCAGCAAAACACCUAUGCUCAUCCCAAUCAAGAGAGGCAAGCCCAUCAUCAAAACACCUUCGCUCAAUCCAAUCAAGAAAGGCAAUUCAAGCAGCUGAGCAACUUCGCAAACGAAACACAAGGUUUGGGGUAGGAAUCAUGGCUAAAUAGUUUAAGUCAGGUCCUUCAUCACAAGAAGUGAGAGUCUUGCAUACCAGAACAUGGGAUCAAAAAUCGUCUUUGUCACAAGAGCUCCAGCUAACCCCUUGAUCUCAAACUUACAGGCUAGGACCCUUGCCAAAGUACUCAGGACACUCUGAUACAAGGAAAUUCUUGAUGAGUUAUGAGGCUGCAAUACUAUCAGCCGGAGGUGAUGAAUCAGUUCUGGCAAAGUCUUUUAUCAUUGCAGCAGAAGAUGCAGCAACUAUGUGGUAUUCAUUGUUGAACCCAGGGGUAAUUCAUUCGUGGAAAGAUUUGAAGCUAGGGAUACUGGAAAAUUUCCAGGGUUUUUAGAGACUAAAAUUGACGGAAAAUGAUCUGUUUUGUUGCAAGCAGAAAGAAUAGGAGUCAUUGCAAGGCUAUUUCAAAAGAUUUGUGCACUUGAGAGCGCAAGCUCCAAAUGUGUUAGCUUCAGUAGCUAUCAGAGCGGCCAUCAUUGGCUUAAAGAUAGGGCAAUGUCGAUCCCAUCUCAUGCGAGAAACACCAAAGACAAUCCAAGUGUUGUAUGAAGAAUUUGAGAAAUAUUGUAGGUCUGAUAAUGACUACCUCAUGUUCAUGGAGGAGCAAUCUCAACAAAAGCAGGCUGCAAGACAAAACUAUAGCAACAACAAGGGUUGGGUCAGUCCUAGAAGUAUUCCCACCCAACCAACAAGAAUAGUAUUUGGUGUCAAGGGAAACAAUCAGUCAAAACAGAUGGAGCAGAAUUCUACUAACACAAACAACCAAUCUGCAAACAAUUCAAACACUUAGUCCCAGGGAGGAUUUAGAGGUGGAAGAGGUGGAGGAAGAGGAAGAGGCUGAGGUAGAGGUCAACCCCCUCACCAGAGAAGGAAAUUUCAUUGCAUUUUUCAUGGGGAAAAUUUUGAUCAUGGCUCCACAUAUUGCUCGAACAAGAAAAGGAUGGAUGCAAUACUCGAGAAAGAGAAAAAAACAAAAGGAGAGAAUGAACCUAGUUAAUCACACAUCUACACCUUGGCUUUCACAACCUUAUUGCCCAGUCUACUGAGGAGUAAAUUCAAGAACAGUUCAUGCUUCUACACUUGCAAGCUCAGCAUCCACACCAACUUUCAAUUAUCAGCCAACCCAUGCAUUCAAUUAUUAACCCACACAAGCUUGCAGUUAUCAGUCAACUCCCACUUUCAAUCAUCAACCAAUUUGGCAAUCUCAAACUUUACAAGCUCAGAACGUGGAAAAAAGAGCUCUGCAUGAACACCACAUAAUCCCGUAGCCACCACCAUAUUUCGGAGUAUCAGCACCUCCACAGCCAACGAAGGUGGAAGGGAAAUUAGAGAAAUCAGAUGCAUUGCCGACAAUCGGGAUGAUUAUGCCAAUAACCAGAGGAUCAGCCUUGGAAUUCGAAAGUAAGAAACAAAGAAACAAUUAAAAUUUAGAGAGGUAGGCAACAUAUUUGUGGAAGGCAAAGUGAAGAAAACCAAAUGAUCUCAUGUCCCAAUCACCUUGACGGAGGAUGACAUGCAGUUGAAAAGCUAUCAUCACAAUGAUGCCAUGGUAAUCAAUGCAAACAUUACAAAUUGGGAAUUGGAAAAAUCUUGGUGGAAAAUGGCUCUUCCACGGACAUCAUGUUCGCCAGCACCUUCGACAAGAUGGAGUUAAACAGGAAUCUGUUGCAACCCCCAGACACGCCGUUGUAUGGUGUCGGAGGAAAAGUAAUACAUGCAUUAGGAAAAAUUUCCUAACCAGUCUCGUUCCAAACAGUUCAAAAUUCAAGAACAGAGUAUAUAUCAUUUGAUGUGGUUGAAAUGUAUUAUCCAUAGUUCGGAAUUUUUGGUAGAGGAUUUUUUGAACAAAUUUGAAGCUGCAAUUCAUCAACCCUAUCUAUGUAUGAAGAUGCCUACGUUGCAUGGUGUCAUCACCAUUUUUGGAGAUCAAGGUGACGGAAAAAACAUAGAAAGGAGGAGAAUUCUGGGUCAAAGAAAUGUGAAUGCACUUGAGGCAGAGAGUCAAGUAAAGAAGGUUAUCAAAGAGCCCAAAGGAGAUAAAGAGAAAGUAAACAUCGAGGAAAAUUGUGACACAAAAAGAGUGUUAUUUGAUGACAUGGUCUUUGGCCAUGAAGUAAUCAUCAGGACUGAUCCUGAUCCUGAGGAGGAAGAGAAAUUGGUUGAAUUUCUUCGCAAGAACAAAUAUGUAUUUGCAUGGUCUGCAAAUGAAUUAGUGGGGGUCAACAGAAAUAUUACUGAACACAAGCUAAGCAUCAAAAAAGCAAUAAGACCAAAGAGGCAGAAGCUGAGAAAGAUGUCAGAUGACAAGGUAGCAGCAAUUAAAUCUGAGGUCCAGAGAUUGCUCGAUGCGAAGGUCAUCAGAGAGGUUGAGUAUCCCCAAUGACUAGCCAAUACAGUCCCUAUCAAGAAAAAGAAUGGAAAGUGGAGAAUGUGCAAAGAUUUCACCAAUCUGAAUAAGGCUUGCCCAAAAGAUAAUUUUCCUCUACCUAGAGUUGACAAAGUGAUUGAUGCGGCAGCAAGAGCAGCAUUAUGUCACUCCUCAAUUGUUUCUCAGGUUAUCACCAGGUGUGGAUGAGAAAGGAAGACGAAGAGAAAACCAAUUUCAUCACCCCAUUCGGAACAUAUUGUUUUGUCCAAAUGCCGGAGGGGCUCAAGAACGCUGGGCCAAUGUUCACGCGCAUGACUGAUGAAGUGUUGAAACCUCAUAUUGAUAGAAAUAUAAUGCAUACGUUGAUGACAUCAUCAUGAAAAGUGACCAAAGAGAGGAUCACAUCCAAGAUCUUGCAGAGACUUUCGCUAGGCUCCGCGAAGCAAACUUAAAAUUGAAUCCGGAAAAUUGUGUUUUUGGAUUCCAGAAAGGGAAAAUGUUGGGUUGUCUUGUGUCCACCAAGGGGGUAGAGGCAAACCUAGAUAAGAUAAAAGCAAUCAGAGUUAUGGAAGAACCCAAUUCCAGAAAGGAUCUCCAAAAGCUCAUCGGAAGAAUUGUGGCGCUAAACAGAUUUAUAUCAAAAUCAGCUGAAAGAAGUUUGCCCUUUUUCAAGGUGCUAAGGGGGGCUGGAAAGCUAGAAUGGGGUCCUGAGCAGAGCAAAGCAAUCGCGGAAUUGAAAUAUUACCUUGAGAAAAUAGCUAUACUAUCACCUUGGCAAUUGGGGGAACAUCUCUUCAUGUAUAUUGCCGCAUCCCAAUCAGCGGUAAGCGUCGUCCUAGUGUGAGAAGUUGAAAGCGAAGGUGCAAUGAAACAAAUGCUUGUAUAUUGUGUGUCAGAGGCACUGUCAGGUUCCAAGUUAUUGUAUUCUGAACUGGAAAAGAUUGCUUUUGCAGUGAUCAUGGCAUCCAGAAAGUUAAGGCAUUACUUUGAGGGUCACAAAGUUACCGUGCUAUCAGAUCAACCGUUCAAUGACUUGUUUCCAAACAGAGAAGCUUCAAGCAGAAUUGCAAAAUGGGCAACUGAAUUGUCCAAGCAUGUAAUAGACUUUGAGAAGAGGGGAGCCAUAAAAUCUCAAGUGCUGGCAGAUUUUGUCAUACAUUGGACCGCUCCAGACCAUAGUUGCGAAGGUGAAGAGGUCAUUCCAGUCCGAGAUAUCACCUACGAUGGUGCCUGGUGACGCAAAGCAGUUGGAAUCGCUGCAAUAAUAACAUCACCAUCAGGAGUGAAAAUCAGAUACACUGCAAGACUGCAAUACUCAGAUCCAUCACAUAAGUGCACAAACAAUACCACAGAAUAUGAGGCACUAUUGCUUGGUCUACGCAAAGUUAAAGCAUUGAGGGCAACAAAUUUCUUGGUAAAAUUGGAUGCAAAAGUAAUCAAAGAGCAAAUCGAAAAAGAAUGCGAGGUCAGAGAGCCGGAAUUGAUAAAAUACUUAGCGAAGGUUAGGAGAAUGGAAAGGCAUUUUAGGGGAGAUUGAAGAUUAUCUUGACCCCCUAAGUGGGUUUUGGUGAAUUAAUGACACAAGCUUAAGUGUCUAAUGAACUUUAAAGUGCAUGAGCAGGUUUAAAAUGAUUGGUGGACAUGUAGGACUUGUGGAUGACCCUCAAAAAGGAAAUGAAUGAAUAUGAGGCAUACCUUGAAGGCUAAAUUUAUUUUUUGUUUGAAUUUUGAGUAUAGGAAUGCCGCACUAUUAAGAAGGAUACAUAAUCUUUGGUCAUUACGUUGAAAAAGGUGCUUAAGAUGACCUAAUCAACCUAUGAGAGAUAUCUUUGCACUGGCACUUCACUUGGGGAUACUUAGAAUGGUGCUGAUAUGAGAGCUCCAGAAUAUUCAGGAGGUUCCGGAGUUUUCGGAGAAAGUUCCAAAAAACUCCAGAACUUAACGUCCCAACGGCUAGUUUUGGGGCGAAGGGGUAUAAUUACCCCCUCACCCUCUCGCACAGUUAGGCUCUUGACCUAACUUCGUGCUGAGCUUCAGAAAAGCAUUCAAGUCCUCCUCUUUACUCUCCUUUAGCAUUCUUAGUGAGAUUUGGUGGAGAUUUAAGGAGGGAUUCAAGGGAAGGGCAAGAGAGUGUGCUAGUGAGCUGAUUUCCCAUCUCUUGAGCACCUUGUUCUUCAUCAAGCCGGUGAUUUUGUGUUGGUUACUCUUGGAGCUUCAAGCUCCUAGCCGGCUAGGCAUUGCCCAUGGAGCAUCCAAGGUUGUGGCUACCUACAUGAAGUUUGUAUUACCCCGAUGAUUGAGUAAGUGACUCUAUCUCAAUCUUUAUGGUCGCUAGAGUGAGGAAAGUGGCUUAGGUGAGAAAAGCUCACCCUUUGUGGGUUCCUCAAUGGAGACGUAGGCUUCAAGUGUGGAGCUGAACUUCGGUAGACAAAUCCUUGUGUCUCUUGUGCUUGUUGUUCUUCAUUCCGUUCAUAUUCAAGCAUGGAACAUAUUUCUAGGGUUUGUGCUCAAUCUACUUUUCUAGAAGGUUGCUUGCAGUUCUAUCUUGUCCCAGAGACUUAGAAUACCCUAUCGCUUAACCUAUAUUUGGCGAUUUACUUUUGGACAAGCAUUUCUUAGGGUUGUAGUUCACUCACAUUAUUCUCCGGAGAAUCCGCAGAUUUCUCCGAAAAUUCCGUAAGUUGCGGAAUUUCUGGAACAAUCUUUGAAAACUCCGAAUGUUGCUUAUAAACUUGUUCAAAGUUGUGUAAAAUUUUCAAGUUCGACUAUUCAACCCCCCCCCACCCCCACUCUAGUCGACAUCCUAGAUCCUUUCAGUUUCACUGUUGAGCAUUACCAAGAAAAGGGAAUGGUGAGGUUGAUGAUUUAGCAAAGAAAGCCUCCAAAAAUGAGCAAUUACCACCAUAUGUAUUCUUUGAAGUCAUUACAACUCCAUCGAUAAAACGAGACAAGCAACCAAUGAGUUUAGUAAAUGCAAUUAGCAGCAUGGAUUGGAGAUCCCCAAUCAUCGCUUACCUUCGCAGCAAGUAUGAACCAGUAGAGGAGCACAAACUCAAGCACAUGAAGCAAAGAGCGAGAGGCUACAUCAUGAAAGGGGAAUAUUUGUACAAGUUGGGAGUGAGUGCAUCGUUGCUAAAGUGCAUCUCACAAGAAGAGGGAAUCGAAUUGCUGAAAUAAAUCCACAGUGGAUACUGCGGAUGUCAUAUUGGGGUUAGAGCAUUAGUUGGAAAAGCUUUCAAGCAGGGAUUCUAUUAGCUAAUGGCAAUCAGAGAUGUUGAGCAAAUUGUCAGAAUGUGCAAGGCGUGCCAAUUUGCAACCAAACAUCAACGAGUACCGGGAUUACCUUUGCAGUUAAUCACUCCCACCUGGCCGUUACAGAGAUGGAGAAUGGAUAUAGUGGGUCCAUUGCCAACAGCUCAAGGAAAUUACAAAUAUGCAGCCGUAGCAGUCGAAUAUUUUACCAAAUGGAUUGAGGCAAGGCCUUUGACAACAAUCACCUUCGAAACCAUGAGAAAAUUUUUCUGGCAGCAAAUCAUAUGCAGGUUCGGAGUCCCAAGGGAAUUAACCAUCGAUAAUGGCAAGCAGUUUGAUUGCUAUGAGUUCAGGCAGUAUUGUGGGAUGAUUGGAACCAAGCUAAACUUCGCAUCAGUAUACCACCCAAGAUCCAACGGGGCUGUAGAAAGAGCAAACAGUGAGAUUUUCACCGCAAUCAAGAAAUGCCUUUUCGAUUAGAAAAAGGGAAAGUAGGCAAAAGAGUUGCCGAGGGUAGUUUGGUCUCACAACACAACCGAGUUCAAAAUAAUUAAGUUCACUCCAUUCAUAUUGCUCUACGAGGCUGAGGCAAUGUGCCUGGAGGCAAUAGCACACCAGAGUGCGAGGGUAAUAGCUGAGCAAAAUGAGGAAAAUGAGGCAAUAGACAAAUAUAUCAUUGAGAUUGAUAGGCUUGAGGCAGCCGAGAACUUAGAAAAAUAUCAAGAACAAACAAGAAAGUGGAGAGAUAAAAAGGUUGUCAGAAAAGACAUCAAAGUGGGAGAUUUCAUUCUUAAAAGAAAAAAGAGUGCAGAAACCGUAGGCAAAUUGCAAGUAGCUUGAGAAGGACCGUAUCUGGUUGUGAGCAGCGUCAGGCCAGGAGCUUAUCAUUUGGCCGAUGAAGAGGGGGAGGAGCUGCCACAUUCGUGGAAUGUGGACAACCUUUGCAAGUUCUAUCCUUGAGCAAAAAAUAGGUGCGGGGUCAGUUGCAUGGAGUUAUAAGCACAAUCAGGUCCUAAAAAUAGCAUAGUUUUACUUUAUUGCAAUUUAUUUUACCUCAAAAUGUAAGCGCAGGGUCGGUAGCAUGGAGUUAUAAACGCAAUCGGAUCCCUGGGCAGCGCAAUUUUACAUUCUUGCGAAUUUACAUUUCUACAAAAUGGGUCAUACUCUUUUCCUCACUAGGGGGGCUCCACAUCGGAGGUGAGGUUUUUAAUGAGGCGAUCCUGAUGUAAUCAUUUACAUUAUGAAGAAAAGAAAUUCCCCCUGAAACCGUGCUCGAGAAUGCGCAUGUGAUGCGAUAACUUUACUUUUAUGUCUAAGAACACAUUCGCAUGGGGUGUCAGAAAGAACACACCUGUGACGCGAUAACUUUACUUUUAUCUCUAAGAACACCUUCGCAUGGGGUGUCAAAAAGAACGCGCUUGUGACGCGAUAACUUCACUUUUAUGUCUGAGAACACCUUUGCAUGUGUGUCAGAAAGAACGCGCAUGUGACACGAUAACUUUACUUUUAUGUCUGAAAACACCUACGCAUAAGGUGUUAAAAGAAUGUGCCUGUGACGCACCUUAUCAUCUUUCUAUAAGAGAAAGAGAUAAGAAAACACCUUCGCACAAGGUGUGAAAAGAAUCCGCCUGUGAUGCACCCAAUCUUCUUUCUAUAAGAGAAAGAGAGAAAGAGAUAAGAAAACACGUUCGCACAAGGGGAUAAAAAAAUGCGCCUGUGACGCACCUUAUCGUCUUUCUAUAAGAUAAAGAGAUAAGAAAACACCUUUGCACAAGGUGUUAAAAGAAUGCACCUGUGACGCACCCAAUUUUCUUUCUAUAAGAGAAAGAGAUAAGAAAACACCUUCGCACAAGGUGAUAAAAUAAUGCGCUUGUGACACACCUUAUCGUCUUUCUAUAAGAGAAAGAGAUAAGAAAACACCGUCGCACAAGAUGUUAGAAGAAUGCACUUGUGACGUGUCUUAUCAUCUUUCUAUAAGAGAAAAAUUUAAGGAAGAGAUUCGGCAUGUGAAGGUGUCAGAGAAAGAUAUCAUGAUCAUCGAAAACAAACUAGGAAGUAAAAAAUAAGAAAUUAACGUCGAAAGCAACCUAAAGGUUGCCAAUUCGACACACACAAGAGUUGGACCUGCGAAGGUUUUCAGCUAAAUGAAUCCAUCUCAGGCCAUGUUCAAUUAUAAAAGCUUACAAAGAAACAGUUUCCUCUGCAUCUCUAUCACUUUCUGAAAGGGGGAAGACCUUUUUUGUAAAAAAAAUUCCGAAAGUGAUCGAGACUUGAGGAAAAUCAAAAGUUUACAAUUCAAAAGGGAAGUUCGACAACACAGCCUACACGAACAGAGGCUAUGCUAGGAUCAAAACCAUUAUAUAUAAAGCAAUAUUCUUCAUCCUUGGGGCACUCAUUUUCGAUCUUGACCUCCGCAGCAUACGAUUCAAAAUCUGAUGCUUGGGAUCGACUAACCCGUCCACCACCAGUAGAAUCAAGCAAGUGACAUAGUGCAUAGCUGCGCAAUGGAUAAUAGGAACAACAAAAAUGCUAAAAAUCUUCAAAGGACUUAUCCGGGAUACUUAGCAUGAUAAACCGUCCAAGAAUGGCUACUGACGCACAAGCCUUCUCGAUAGAAUGUUCUGGGAACAACAUCACGCACAGUUUCAUCACAUGGAACCUGCGCCACAAUUGAUAUUUACAACAAAAUGAGUAAUAGUUUUUCCACUUAACAAACAUUAUUUACACCUUCGGCUCCUAUUCAAUACUUGGCAGAUCUUGAGGUUGUGCAUCAUGCGGCAAUGAUUCUUGGGGCUGGGAAACCCGAGGAUCUUCAGGCACGGAUGAUGUAGAGGGUUUUAUAGUUUCAAGAGCAGUAGACGCCAAGGGCGCCAUCUCUGCAGACUGACAGUUGGGCUUUGGGGCCGGCCAUUGACAUGGAGGAGCAUAUGAGCCUUGAGUGGCAGAAUCCCAAUGAAGAGCUUGAAGCUUGCAAAUCUCCAUUGUCUGUUUUUCCUGGCCAAGAUAGAACUAUGAGGUAGUAACCUCAUAGCAUCAAAAAGUAUUUCAAAAGCAUUCUCAAGAUUGCAAAAAAUAAAAGACUAAAGGAGAAAACUACCUAUGCGAGACGGUCGGCAGCCUUUCUACGGACACCUUCGCGGCCGCUUUUAAUCUAGAACUCCCUCAGAAAUAACUUUGACACGGCAUCGACAUUACGACUAGGGGCUAGAAUUUCAGAGUGAUCUGGAAACUUGAAACCGCAUGAUCCAAAUUUUUUGAAGUGAUUGCAUCCUUCACCUUCAAGAAUUUGAAGCAAGGACUCAGCAGUUGUACCCACGCCAUAAUCACCAACCUUGGAUAAGAUCUCAGGCAAGAAUUUUAACUCAUCCGACAGCCAUUGGAAGAGUGUUCCUGUGUUCCUAGACCCAGGAAAAGGCUGUGGCUCAGUGCCAAACAGGUUAAGAGCACCGCGAUAUUGGUGAUUUAUGUGAAGGCCCCAUUGCUAAUUUUUUUGUUCAUUUUCUUCAAGAAUUUUCUCUUGAGACGCAUUAACUUGCCUUAAUUUAGAAAUUAUCUUAUCCUUAGUCACCAAAUCCCUAGCUUGCGUGAUCGCAGUCAUCUUGAUAUUUACAAGCUCCUUGCGAACCCUGUGAAAGCACUCUGCAUCUUUCUCAAUCGUCACGCGAAGGUUAUCGAGAGCUAUCUCUUGUUGCUCAUUACGCAAGGUCAAAGACUUAACCUCAGCAUAGAGGUCUUUAUUGUUCGCUUCCAUUUGAGCAAUUUGAUCCUUUAGCCUCUGUACCUCGGCAGCGAGAUCUGCUUGCUCAAUGCGUAGGUCUUCCAUCUCGUUGAAAACAUUUUCACAACCAAGUUUUCCAGCAAUCAUCCCUUUCAUUGUGAACGUCGUCAUCAAUGAGCAAAGCUCAAGUCCAUUGAGACCAUCGAUUCAUGACUCAAAGGCUGCCAAAAAGAAUACAUUAGGAUUUUCUCUACAAGCGAAACAAAAAAAUAAAUAAUAAAAACGUCAUUAGCAAAGGUGUUAACCUUUCGAAUCGAAAAAUUGAUAUUGCGGAAUUUCAGUGUUAGCCUCACCAAAGUUAACAUCUGCGCCUUUGAAGGAAUCCCCUUUUUCAACAUUUGUUUCAAAUGACGUCAUGUCUCUAACCAAUCUCAGUUCAUCUGAGUCAAGUUGACUCAAGGAAAGCAACGCACGAGCAGCAGUUUCACCAUCUGCGCAAGCCAGGCAAUUUAAUAGCAGGACAAAUUGAAUACAAAACAAAAACACAAAGUAACAUUGGAGACAAGUCAAAGGUAACCUUUAGGGGGAGAGCAAAUCCCUUUACCCUUUACAUAUGAGGGAAUCUCAAGAACCUUAGGAAAGGAGAAAUCCUCAUCAGUCUUGGACGUAAGAGAAUUCCUUUCGUCAGCAAUCUCAGGGGGCAAGGUCUCAUUGUCUUUGCUUUCUUGAGAAUUUAGCACAGGAGACAAAUUAAGAGGCAAUUUAUUAGAUGAGCCAUCAACAUGCUUGGCCCCGCAUGACUCGGGCGUCAAUACUUUGCUAAAAACAGCUGUGUCUUUGUCACAGUCAAUUGGAUCCUCAUCUAAAUAAAUCACGCUUUCAUCUUGAUCCAAAAUGUCAAUCAUCCUAGCAAAGGCAGUAGCGGAGGUGCUAGGCAUUUCGGCCUCAAAAUUGAAAUGCAUGUCCUCCAUACGCUGAUAGUAUUCAGCAACCGAGCCUCAAUGUUGAUCAAUUUCACAUUCAAGAGCAUCAGUUCCACCAAACUAUCAUGAGGAGCAUCCGCAGGCUCGGGUGUGGGGGUCGCCUUAGCUCCCGGUGCAACUCCGCGUUCAAUCUCAUGAUGCUUAGAAGCAACACUUUGAGUUUCAAGCACUUGGAGUGAAGGCGAGCCCUCAACACUUGGCGGUGCGCUGGGAAUUAUCUUACGUUGUUUAAUAGCGGCACCAGCAGUUUCAAUUUCUCUUUUACGUUUCUACAGUGCCGUUACAACUUUCAUGGAUUCAGAAACAUCUAAUGACCCAGCAACGACCAGUUUUUUCUUCUUGGAAAGCCUUUUCUUCUUGACCUUGGGAAUCUGAGAGCCAACGUUUCCCGGCAAAACUAUUUUCUUCGCAGGCCUACCAGGACGCAGGUGCGGGCUGUAAGAAAUUUUCAUCUCGUCAAACACCUGAUUGAUUCAUCCACCGUGUUUCAAAGCUAUCAUCGCAGUCUCGUGUUCCUUCAAUGAAUAGUUACCAAUCAGAAGAACAGCCUGCCUCUCAAUUUCAGCCAUGAACUCUGCAUCUGAUACCCCAUCUGGCUUUUUAACACCAAAUUUUGGAAAUUUAAUCUCUAGGUCUGUGUCGGGGAUCCUUUUGUUAACAAAACUAGUUGGUUUCCAACCAUAGCGCGAGGGCCAGAUGCCAGCAGCCAAAAACUCUUCAAUGGCAUCUCGACUAGAAACAACUUGACUGACUUGGAAAUAAGCAGAUGUCCCUGGUGAAGAGCGGCUUCGACGGCUAAGAGUGGGCGCGAAUUCCAGUUCCAUAUCCUCAAUUCUUGCAGGCUAAAGGGUACUCCAAAAUUUCCUUACCCUCAAAAUUUUUUCCAGCAACAACAGGAAUGGUUGCAUAGAACCAAUACGAAUCCCACUUCUUUGACCACUUAUUUUUCUGGCCUGGGGCGAGGGCAACUGGCAUUAUGUUUCGACCCAACCACCACGUUCGGAAAGUGCAGCAUCCAUACUGCACCUCGAAUUCUUCUUCACCAAUAAUAAUAUGCUUCUUUUGGAGAUGCAAUUCAAAAUGGCGGGAGAAAGACUCUGCAUCUAUUUCACCUCUAAAAGAACGACUACACCAAAAAUAGUUUAGGAGCCGGGGGAUAGAAUUUGGGGUUAGCUGAUGAAUUCGGACCUUGUAUGCAACAAGAACAUCUACGAAAGUUUUUUCCAAUGGAAAUCUUAGCCCAGCCACGAAGAAAUCUCAAAAGACCACACACUCAUUAGGCUGUGGAACAGGAAUAUCCUCGUCCCUAGGGGGCUGGCAAUCUCCAGUGUUGAAAUAUCCCUUCUUGACAUAGAAGUCAAUGUCAUUCUGACUAACCAAAGAACAGCCAAAAAAGCAACUGGUGGGAGUUUCCGCAACCAGAUGUUUCACAUUAGCAUCCACAUCUUCAAGAUCAUCACCUCCUUCUUCUCCUUCUCCUUCUCCUUCUUCUCCUUCUUCUUCUUCUUCUUCUUCUUCUUCUUCUUCUUCUUCUUCUUCUUCUUCUUCUUCUCCUACACCCUCAGCAGUAUCACCAUCAUCAAAAUUGCUAGAUCUAUCCUCAUUAGAUCCCCCCUUAGAUGAACUGUUAGCUUCGCGGGCAUGUUGAGUGCCGCCCAGGUCUUCAUCUCCCACGUGAGGUGGUUCAAUAUCAGGAUGCACCGGAUUGUUGACCUGGAUAUCAUGAGCAAUCAGAUUCACCGGAUCGGCAGCAGGGUUUCCUUGAGCGUUGGGAUCCAUUAGAUUGGCAGCAGCCAGCUCCUCCUCAGUCAUCAAUCUAGCAGUACUUUUAACGCAUGCCACUUUAUCUAUCAAAAAAACAAAUUUGUAUAACAUUCAAUUCAUACCAAGUGCAGUGCUAACUUAAAGAAAGAAAAUCACCUUUGCUAGAUCAACAAAGGAUGAAUCGAAAGGGAUGCACGAAUCUCAAAGCACGAAAUCAGAAAGCAGCGACGGCACUUGUCAAAGCGAGGGUGCAGAAAAGUUACCACACCCCCCAAUGGUAACCGUGCUCAACAGUAAAAAAGCAAGGGCAAAAUAGUCAUUUAACUACCUUCGCAGAGAGAUCCAAUCCAGCGAGCAGGGAGACGUUUUUCAAUCCUUGAUCGAGAUCAAAUGAUAUUUCGAGGGUUCAGCCCGCUGGAGUGGACCUCGCCCCCGAGGGGCUACUAUUGGGGAUAUGGAUUUGGAUUGUUAACAUCACCCUCGCACGCCGCUUUAGAGAAUUGGAUCAUCACAAUGAUAAUCAAAAUGAUGUUCACCUUCGCUCAAAGCUAACACCCUCGUUUCCUUUUAUUACCUUCAUCACCUCGCCUGCGAGGGUGCGGCAAAAUUAUUUUGAUCGUGUAUGCAGGUUUUCGCACUGGAGGGCACGAAGCGAAGGUAUUCGGCAAACUUGGCAGAGCGAGGCGAAGGUUGUGAGCACAUUCGAUGUCCGAAAUCCAAGGCCCAUUCAAGAUCAUUUGGGCGAAGGUGUGAAGGAUUAGGGUCACGUUGUGAACGUGACCCCGGUGGCAUGAAUAGCGUGACUCGGUUAGGGUGUACAAAUCGGAUUAGGACUCUUUCUUUACCAAAAUGUACAGCAUAUUCUUAGAAUGUAGUGGUUGAGUGAGGGUAAAUUCGGUAUGUAAAAGUCGUUGGCCUCCCUAUAAAAAAGGAGGCACCACCACAGGUUCAUAUUUUUAAGAAAUACAAGCCUUAAGAGUUUUGUUUUCCAUUUGUGUGUGCUUUCUUUAAGUGUUCGAACCAGCUAAAAUUCAUAUUCCUAAGUAAAUUCCCUCCAUCAACUCCAACCACUAAUUCUCAUGCUUCUUUCUGUUAGUUGCCAAACACACCACACGGUCUACUAUAAGAAACUUUGACUAGAAAUUUCUAAUAAAAAUAUUAUAUGUUAGAAUAUAUCUACUACUAACAUCAAUCUCACGUUGUCAAUAUAUUUAAUUUUUAUAUAUUGAUUACCAAAGCUAAAAAUGUUUAACAAACAAAAAAUGGGAAUAAUUUUGGAAUUCCAAAUAUCUUUGUGAUAGGUGGGAAUAUCGUAUACUACCUCCGAUUGGAUAUUUUAUUUAAGUCUUAGACAAGUCGAUUCAGCCACCCACCUUUCGCCCAUAAAUUGAAUUAUCACCCACUUUUCACCCAUGAAUUGAAUUAUCUCAUUUGUUGUAGGGUUGUCCUUCCAUACUUUCUUUUUAUUGUUGACAAAGCUAGUCGGUUGCCAGUAAGUCGGCCCGUGUUCAAUCACGGCCAGGGUGGGUGGGUGCUCACCUCUUAGAAACAAUUCAGGAAAAGCUUUGCGACUUAUUAAAUAAAGCUAAAAUACUCCCGUCAUCUCUCCCAAAUGAGUUUAGAGAGAGGGGUGUCAGCGGUAGGGCUGCCGGCGGUGGUGGUGGUGGCAAUGAGACUCCUCUACAAUACUUCUGCUGGAAUCGCUAACGUGUGGAGAGAGGUACUGCAGGGGAUCUGCUUCCAGUGGUGGGCAGUAGGAUAAUAACAUAAGCAUUAAGUGUGCACAUUUUACACGAAAAUAUUAGAGGCACCAUAGACAUCUUGUCUACCCCCAUAAUCAUUGUGCUAAACUCUAAAACUACGACUGAAUAUAUUUGUUGUUGUGGGAAUAUUUUAUAGGAUAACCAACUCGAAAUGGAUUAUUCACUCACACGAGAAAGGAGACACUGCCUACAAUGAAAUGUUUGGAUGCAACAUCGAGUUCCUAGUUACAGUUCACAAUAUUACAUCCCCUCAUUCAUCUUCCUCGGAAGGUAUGUCCCUCGAGCCAUUUCAUCUCCUCCAUCUUCAGAGCCAGAAGAGUGUUUAGAUGGUGAUUUUGCAGGGAAACGCAGGUAUCCAGUUCAGUCAACCAAAUGCUCCACUCACAUCAGUAUGCUUCAGAGUAGAGUUUGCUCCUGCAAAACCAUCACCACAUCAAAUGGGACACCUCAAACAACGCAAGAGCGCAGUAAUUCAGCCAGUCAGUGGGAAAUGUUAUUGCAUUGAUUUUUUCUGAACAAAAUAAUACAGGAAUCAUGAAACCAACACCAAGUAGCUGAAAAAGGUACAGAUGCUGAAAAUAGGUAGCAUGACUAACCGAUCACGCAUGCCAGGACUUUGCACUACCACAUAUGUACACCUGCAAAAGAUACAGACACCUAGCUGAUAGGAGCACGAAAGCCACGGGUUAGUAUCAUUCAGUUAACCAAUCACAUCAGUGUUUAGGACGGAAGCGGCAACAGCACCACAUGAGCAUAUCACAUACGCUUGUAAUGUCGUUACGCAAUGGAACGCAGAGCAGUGGCGGAGCAUGCAGAGAAACUGAGAGGGGGCCAAUAACAGAGGAGAUUAGUAUACAUAGAGUGUUUAAGUAGUUAAAUUAGCUGUUCCUUUAAGAAAUUUAGGAGGUUAGGGGGGGCAUGGCCCACCUUGGCCACAAUGAAGCUCUGCCAGUGACGCAGAGGAUGCAUCUCCUAUGUCAAGAGGGAAUGAGCAGCGCAGGGCUCCCACAACGGCACCAACAGGGAUUAUUGGCUUGGUGGUCACACCGAUCAGGGUGCCUCUUCAGCCCCUCCUGCGCUUGGUUAUCAUCUCCAUUUGUCCGUACAGGUAGAGAACCUCCUUCAUCGUCGCCUUCCGGCCUUUCCUGAAGUUCCAGAACACAGGCACCACGUGCCGCUCACUGGGGUUGUACUCGUUUAUCUCCAUCAGCGCAGUCUUCACCGCAUUGCACACAUCAUCGCCGUACUCAAACCGCAGGAGCUUCAGUUUUGCAUCAUCUUCGUCUAAAACUUCCUGCAACAAACGAGGAUUGGUUAUGAUUUCUGGACAAAUACUAACCUCUAUAAACGACAAAGAUAUAUAAUACCUUAGCUGGAUAGAAAAAAACAGCAAAUACCUUAUGCUCUCCAUUAACCUGAACAGCCACAAAAGGAUGCCAGGAUGGCUUCUUCAGUUCACCCUGCCAACUUUCAACCAGCUUUGCAGCUUUGGUCUGGUAAUCGACGUUUCCAUAUUUUCUCUUACAUGCAUUUUGAAAUGGCUUCUCGUCAAGUUCUCCCAUUCUUUUGGUCCCAAUAGCUGGCCGGCCAUUUAACUCGUCCUCCAAACCCUGAGCAUCACGAUGCUCACAACAAUCAUUUCAUCAAUGGAAAACAUCUUAUGAACAUCAACUGAUGGAGAACACGUUAGGUGCAUGGUAAUUGCUAAACAUACAACACAUAUAAAAUAAAAUAAUGGAGCAGUACCAUAGUAAGCUCUUUUCGGGCUUGCAGUAGCUCAUCGUUACUUUGACGCUCUUUGCUCACAAGAGUUCCGUUCAAAUCUUCCAGGUCGUCAUUCUUGUCUUCCAGCUCCCCAAUCCACUUCGUUAGCCUGUCAUUCUUUGCUUGCAGCUUCUCAUUACUCUCCGUCAGGCCCUCAUUCUUGACUUGCAGACCCUCAUUCCGCUUUGUUAGGCCAGCAUUCUCGGCAUGCAGUUCCCCAUUCCGCUUCCUCAUCCUAUCAUUAUUGGCUUGCACCUCCUCAUUCUGCUUCACCAAGUCGACAUCCUUGGCCUUCAGCUCCUCAUUCUGCUUUGUCAGGCUGCCAUUCUUUGCUAGCAGCUCCUCAUUCCACUUCGUUAGGCCGCCAUUCUUGAUUUGCAGCUCCAAAUUCUGCUUGCUAAUACCAUCUAUAUUGGAUCUCAGCUCCUCAUUCUCCUUCACCAGGACAUCAUUCUUGGCUUGCAGGUCCUUAUUCUGCUUCAUCAUGCCAUCAUUCUUGGCCUGCAGAUCCUCAUCCUGCUUUCUCAUUCCCUCAUUCUGCUUUCUCAAGCACUGCAUCUCUUUCGCCUUCUGAGCCAGCUCAACUCUCAGCUUCUGAUUCGCCUCACAGUAUCCAAGCUCUUUCACAUCCACAUCUAGUUGAGCCCUCAGGUCUUCGACCUCCAUUAAAAUCCUCUGAGAAUCCUCGCACGCUACCUUUGAAUGCUCUGCCCAUGGGUGAAAAAAAUUAAAACCAUGGUAUGAAGAAAAGAGUGAAAGAUUGAAGCAUGUUUUCAGUAACACAUACCUCCAUUGCCAACCAGACUCGUCAAAUCUUUGGACAUAACUGCUGCAUUCCUCUUCCUGCUUCCAGAUUCUGCCCCAAGAUUCUGACCUGCUGCCACCGAAAAACAAAGAACGCUUCAGCAAGUGUAAGCAAGAUAGCCUGCGACAGGUAAAGCAAUGCGAGUAUACAUCACAAAAUGUUCCUGCCAACCUGUGGAUAUUACACAUCACAGUUGAACACACAAAAAUAGUUAAAGGAACGAGGAAACGAGAUAACUGAACACAAUGAUUUUUUUCCCAAAAAUCUAAGCAAUAAGAUGUGUCGACAAAACUGAUGAUCCAAGUAAUUUAGAGUUGACAUAUGGUGGCAGCCUUCAGAAACUUUGCACUCUUGAUUGACUAAAUGUCAUAGUUGAUUUCACUUUACAUUUGCCUUAAUUCAAGUGCAGUUAUUCGUAAGAAACUGUUUCGCGUCAAUAUACCUAUGCCUACAAGUUCCCACGACUCAGAUAGUCAGAUUGAUGCGCUUGGGGACCAAAAGGCUUGUGCCUCCAAUCGAAAGAGUAUGCGACCCUCAUCCAAAGGUCGCAACUUUGUGGGGAAAUGAAACGAACGAUUAGUAACCUGGUAUCGAAAUGCAUCAUAGAUCAGACUUGGUAUCGAGAGGUAGUAGAUAAACUAAACUGCAGGGGAGUAGUACUAGCAGAUCCCUCAAGGCAGGCUCCCUCGUAAACCAAAAAGAAAAACAAAAAAAAGAAAAAAGAACAAGAAGAAAAUGCGAUGAGGUAAAAGAAAAGGCAAACCGUGGCUUCUCUUACCACCACCAGCAGCACUUCGAUCAACGCCACGGUUCAUGGGUGGCCCGCCGGAUUCUCCAGUCUCGUCCCCUCCGCCGGCGGGGGCCAUGGCUACGGCGGCGGAGGAAGAGUGCUACGGCGGCGGAGGAAGAGGGCACUGAUGAAGAGUGAGGGGGCUUUUAUUGUCUUUCUUGCCUCCUGUCCUCCCGCAACCACAAUAACACUCUUAAAAGGGAAAAAUAUAUAUAUUAUUAUUAUUAUUUCAGUUGCCUACUAUAGUUAUUGUGUCAUCAAUCUAAAACAACUUACUGAAUAUAUUUGUGAUCGUGGCCUCGUGGGAACAUUUUCUAGGAUAACCAAUUUAAAAUGGAUUAUUUACUCAUAUGAGUGCACUAAUUCAGCCAGUCAGUGGGAAAUGCUGUUUGCAUAGAUUUUUCUGAACAAAUGAAUGUAAGUAUCAUCAAACCAACACCAAGUACCUAAAUUACGGUACAAAUGCUGAAAAUAUGCAGCAUGAUUAACCGAUUACGCAUGAAAGGUCAGAUGAUAGCACACAAGAUAAAGGCCAAGCAGGCUAUCACUUGCACUACUGCAUAUGUACACCUGCACAAUAUACAGACACCUAAGUAGGGCACGAAAGCCACGGGUUGGUAUUAUUCAGUUCACCGAUCACAUCAGUUUUUAGGGCCUGAAGCGGCAACAGCACAACCACAUGCUUCCACACAUCACAUACGCUUGUAAUGUCGUUACGCAAUGGAACAUUAACACAGAGGAUACAUCUCCUAUGUCAGGAGGGGAUCGAGCAGCACAGGGCCCCCACAAUGGCACCAAUGGCGCGCAUGCACGACUACUUAUUGGCUUUGCAGUCAGGCGGCCUAGGGCACCUCAUCAGCCCCUCCUGCGCUUGGUUGUCGUCUCCAUCUGCCCGAAAAGGUACUUGAGCACCUCCUUCGUCGUCGCCUUCCGGCCUUUCCUGAAGUUCCACAGCUCGGGCACAACAUACCGACCACUGGGGUUGUAUUCAUUUAUCUCCAUCAGCGCGGUCUUCACCGCAUUGCACACGUCAUCACCAUACUCAAUCCACAGGAACUUCAGUUUUGCAUCAUCAUCAUCUAGAACUUCCUGCAAUGAACAAGGACGAGGACAACUAUUAGUUCCAAUACUAGCCUCUAUAAAGAUAACACAACAGUCAGAUAGAACACGGUAAAUACCUUAUCUUCUCCAUUAACCUGAACAACCUUAAAAGGAUGCCAGGAUGGCUUCUUCAGUUCCUCCUGCCAAUUUGUGAUCAACUCUGCUGCUUUGACCUGGUAAUCAUCGUUUCCAAAUUUCCUCCUACAUGCAUUUUGAAAUGGUUUUUCAUCAAGUUCUCCCAUUCUUUUUAUCCCAAUAGCUGCCCGCCCAUUUAGCUCAUCCUCCAAGCCCUGAUCAUUGUGAUAACCAUUUGAUCAGUGAGAAAAAACCUUAUGAGCAUCAACUGAUAGAGAACACAUCAGGUGCAUUUUAAUUGCUAAACAUAUAGUACAUAGAAAAAGAGCGGUACCAUAAUCAAUUCUUUCCGGGCUUGUUGUAGCUCGUCGUUACUUUCACGCUCUUUCCUCACAAGAUCUCCACUCAAAUCUUCCAGCCGUUUCUUCUCACGCUCUAAUCUUUCACUCAGCUUCUCCAUCUUCUCAUGAAUAUCACCAUCAUCAUCUCCCUCCAAAUGUUUCAUUACUUGGAGUGUACCAUUCAACCGUGCAACUUCGAGCUCAAGUUGCUGCUUCUCAUGCAGUUCCUUUUCCAGUUGGAGCAUCCUUGCGAAUACAUCUUCCUUUUCCCUCUGAUGUUAUUAAAAUGUAUUAAUUCUCAUCACCAGAACCUACAGUGACCAUCUAGAAAGCAACAUAUAAGUAAGAAAGGGGCAAACCUUCUGGUCAUCCAAUAGCUUCAGAACAUCGAAGUCAGCCCUCUGCUGCUCUAUACUGGCUAACUCAAGUUCACUAUUAUCAUCUUUCGCCUGCACAAUUUCAAAAGAAACUUUAAGUAAUUAUAUAAGAUAUUGCUGUAUGCAAUCAUGCUAUCAUACCAAUAUGCUCUAACUGUCAUCAUUAGUUUAUGAGCCUAGCAAGCUUUGGUGCAUGCACUUAGGAUGUAGAAAGAGAACCGGUAUUCUGUGAAUGUCAUAGAACUUAGAUGAUAAAAUACUUCAUAACAAUACAUCCCUUGUCAAAGUGAAAGUACUGAUGAUAUAUAAUUUUAAACAACCUGUACAAGUUUGAAAUGGAAAUAUAAAACAGCAACAGUAAAUCCUUGUUUUCAAAGUAAUCUCAAUCACUUAACCAAAAGAAUGGUUGCCACCCUGUUAGUCCAGAUUAGUGCACCAUAAGCAUGAUAUUUCAGCAGAGCUUACAUGAGCAUAGCCUAGUGCUUCAUUCGUAUAGUUGUUUUGCUUACCUUCUGCUUCUCAUCAUCGAGUGUCUUCCAGUCGUUAGCAUUCUCAGCUGACAGCUUUUCAAGUUGCUUAGCUCGUGAAUUCAGUUCUCUCCUCUUAUUUUCUAAUUCUUGCCUCAAGUUGUCAUUUUCUUGGAAAAUUCGCAGAGCAUUUUCACGAGCCCUGCGAUGAAGAUUUCGCAUUUCUGAAAAAGAGGAUACAAAAUUAUGGAUGAGUUAAUUUAUAAAAGAGAAAAAUUGCUUUGUUAAAUUUGUAAAGCAAAGAAAUUAAAGCUAAGUAAUCAAAGUUAACAAUUGGAGGAGGUUUGUUCAUACGUGUAAGCAUUGUUCAUCUCAUCAGGUAAUUCGUAGUUUUACAGAUAAAUAUAAUGUUAAAAAAGGAAUCGAGUAAUUUCAUGCAGAAUGGCAUUACUAUCAGAAAAACCCUGCAUUCAUCUAACCAACCCACAACAUCAUUUCUCUAUGUAACCCAUGUCCAAUAUAAGACUAUUACAAAACUAACUUCAGGACUUACAUGCAAAAUAUCUAAUAAUAUGCAAUGGUACAAGAUAGAAUUAACAUCUGAGAUCUGCUCUGUUACAAAUAAGUUUCUGUUUCACAGCCAUGACUAGAAAUGUCACCAUCUAAACCAUCAAGUAGAGCCGAAAGAAAGGAAGCAAAAUUGUACAGAUUACCUUCAUUGUACGCCUCGUGUAGCUUCCUGUUGUCCUCCUCAAGCCGUGAGAUCGAGAGUUCUGUUGCAUUCUUCUUUGUCUCCAAAUCCUGCAAGUAUCGGUUCUUUUCCUCUAUCUGAGAUGCCAGUCUUGCAACCAUCUCCCCUGACUUCUCUAACUCAGUUUUGGAGACCUCAUCUAUUGUUUUCAGGAUGGUACGCUUCCUCAAGAACCUUCCCACCACAGUCCCUCCAUUGUAAUCCCCCUCUCGGGCAACCCACCCAUAAACCUUUACCUCACCUUCGCCACCCUCCCCCUCUGCAGCACCUAGACCACUAUUCCUAGUCUCAAAUUCCUUCUUCCCCAGCUUAUUCACACUAAAAUGGUUCUCUAGCGUAAGCGCAUCAUUAAAUCCACUCCAAUCAUUGGUAAACCUCACGAUUGCAAAGGUUUCCAUGCCUUCUAUCUCAUCGAUAAACAAAGGCACAACCUCAACAAAACUAAACAUGGCUACUCUACCAGCAAACUCCUCAGCAUUGAACCCUGCACCGGCUGCAAGAACACAAGCCCAUGGCCAAGCAUACCUCUCAACCUCCCGUGGCGGCCCCACGUUCUCCGCCGGCGCAGAACUGGAUCCCGUAGGACCAACAUUGGCUUUCGCCUCCGCGGUGGCACUUCCACUGCCAUUGGCGUUAGCAGGGGCGGGCUUAAUGGCACCGAGGAUGCCAGUGAUACCGACAAGGUCUUCCGCGAAGGACGGAUCGGUGCGGACAAAGCGGGCGAAGGCGCGGUGAGACGCGCGCUCGCGGCCGUGGCGGCAGUGCUUGCUGGAGACGCCGAUGCCGUCGGCGUGCUGGAGGAGGUCCUUGAUCUUGUACCCCUGCUUCUUCUUGCCGGGGCAGAAGGGGCAGCGGAAGGUGCCGUCCGGGUUGCGCACCCGGUGCUUGCCGGAUGUGAGGAGGCGGAAGGAUUGCUCCUCGUAGUCGCUCUCCGCGUCCGAGUCGUCCUCGGAGUCGUCGUCGGAGUCCUCGGAUUUGGGGUCCGCUAAUCCGGCGGCCUCCGCGGCGGCCUCGGCCUCGGCCUCCUCGUAGGGGUCGAUGUAGUCGUCCAUGUCAAGAUCCAUCCCCGGAGCUCAGGGAUUCAACAGAGACGAUUCCUGAACGCAAAUACAGCGGUUAUUGAUCGAAAUUUUACAGGAACGACGCGAUUUUUCUCCCCAAAUGUUCUUCGAUCCAAACAUACUACGAAAGAGGAACCGAAAGGACUCACCUUCCCCCGAACUGGAGCACGAUCGCUCCAAAUGGCAGCGAAACUGGAUGAAAUUGGGGGGAGAAACCCCCGCCCUAUAUAAAGCCCGGGCGAAAUCGCGUUCUCACGCACCACGAUUGAACGCAACGACGCCGCCCUCGCUGGAUUUAUGGUGGCAUGGCGGAAAUCGGCGAGAAAGGCAACAGCUUUACUGGGCAAGGAUUAACACCUGCAUUCCAUUCCAGUCCUGGGGUUUUGGGGGCGGCGCACGGGAGAGAUGCCACUGGUACGGGGUGGGACGAUGAUAUGUGGGGUCCAUUUCAGCCCGUCGACGGUGGCCGGGACCACGUGUCAGGGACUCUGACACUUUGACUCCUUUGGGAAGCGUUACGUGGGCCCGAGUUCAUCCGGCUCAUUAACUUUAGGUCAUCUCAAGAUGUUUUUCCUUUUUUUUCUCGUUUCACUGUUGAAAUCCCACCCACCUCCAUCUAAAGGAAAUAUUGAAAUUUCUAGGAAAAUAGUUAAUUUGGUUAAUGCAUUAAUGAUGGAAUAAAAAGUUUCCCCUUUUUUCAUAGAGCGUAUAAUUCGUUGACAGAAGAGUUUGAUACUAAGAUUUGGAGAAAAUUUACAGCAGAGGUACAGCAAAAGAUUUCAUUUGAUCUUCCCAUUUAACAUAUGGUUAAAAGGCAACGCAUGUAGAUUUUCUCCCUUCUCUAGUUGGAUGGAAUUCACGCUUAUAGCGUAAAGAGUAAUAGUUAAAUAGGCUUGUAAACAAACUAGGUGUCAUUUGGUAAAUUUAAUAAAAAAAACAGCACACUGCACAUACCCUACUGGCACGAGUAAAUAAUCUUUCUGUAUAUAUGCAUGACACAGGUAAUAAGUAAAUAAGCUUGUAUACAAAGAUAGUAAUAGUUAAACAAGAUUCUAUAGGAACCAACUGUCAUGUCUAUAUUAUACUAUUAUUAUUUUGUACAUGACAAAAGGUAAUAAUUAAAUAAGACUGUCUAUAAACCAACUGUCAAUUCCUAAGUAUAUAUGCUACUAUUACUCGGUACAUGAAAAAGAGUAAUAACUAAAUACAAUUGUAUCAAACCAACUGUCAUAUCUCUGUAUGAUACAAGGUAAAUCAAAUACAAACCAAUUAUUAAUUCAUACAUAUUAUUAUUACUCUGGACAACAUAAAAGGCAAUAUUAAAUAAAAUUGUUUACUACACAACUGUCAUUUCAAAAUAUUGCUAUUAUUCUUUACAAGAUAAAAAGGUAACGGUUAAUUCAGCUUAAUGCAUACCAAUCGUAAUUUCUUCAGUAAAUUCAAAUUAAAAUCAGCACAAACAUAUAAAUAAUCCAUGUUUUAAGUGCAUAGGUUGGUGCUUGAAUCUAGAUCGAUGAAAAGAAAUGAUCUUAACAAUUUUGCAAGCAAAAUUAAAAAUAGAAAGAAAUUCAGUGGUUUUUCUUACUCUUAUAUCCUUUCCCACAAGUUGGUUCAUCUUGAACGGUUGUUGCGGCAUCUUCCACUCCAUGAUCCUUCAAUGAGAUUAUCAUUAUGGCACCCAUGAACUAGACUCGAGUCAACAAUGUCUCAAGGAUUAGAGAGAACCUUGGGGAUUCCAUGGACGUUGGGGUGGCAACUGUGGUGGAGCAGUGACACAAGGAAUGGUUAGCUACAGAUCUAUCUAGCAUGUCUUAUCGACUUAUCGUCGAAGAGCGGUGCAGGGCAGUAUGCUGGUUCGUCAUAGAUAGCAAAGGUCCAUUGUCGCAAUAAGUAAGGCAAAAGGAAGAGGGAGAGGUGUGCGGCCAUGUCAGGUUGAGGACAAUAGGCAUGGCGAUGAUUAAAAAAAAGGGGGUGGCAGUAUGUGGAAUGCUACAAGAGGAGGGUGCUCUAUCCGCCAGAGAAGCAUGGUUGGUUCUACGCAAAUGAUAGGAAGGGGCGGCGGUGUGUGGGAGCAUUGUAGUGGCCCGACCAAGAUGAAGGAGAAAGCGCGGUCUGCAGUCAUGUUGGGGUUGAGGACGAUAGGCAUGGCGAUGAUAAAAAGGAGCGGCGGGCGGCGGCGCAUGGGACGGUACAAGAGGAGCGUACUCGAGCUCUUAGGGUUUUGAUUGUUGCAAUAUCUACAACAGUCGGGGCAUAAAUCAAGGGUCAAGAUCCUUGAUUUAGAUAUAGAAAGAAUGAAAAUACCCUCAACCGACAUCCGACGCUACAGAACCAUCGAACGGUUCACAUUGCUGCCAUUUUGCACUGCAACAUAUGGCCCCGUAACACAUGAGAAGAAUGGGUAUUGAGUCGGAUGGUUGGGAAAUACUCAAGGAUUGAAAUGUGGGAGCAAGAUUGUCAAGAGAAAUUACAAAUCACCAAUUUUCGAAUUUCUUAUCGAGUCAAAAUUGUUAGUUCGUUCGGACGGCGUUCGGACGGUUCUCGGGUACAUGUAGUAGAACAGAGGAUUUAUCCCAAUUCCCAUGGUACAUUAUCAAAUUUUGCAGAUCAGAACCGGAAAAGGAGUCAGUUGUCUGCUCGAGUCAUCUUCCUUAGGCAAAAGAGAGUACAACAUUUUUGUGAUUGGUUUUACGAAGAGAGGCUUUAUGGCAUGCCGGAUCCUUGCUCUCUUGGUCUUUUUUUUCUUGCACCAGGCUUACUCUACCUUAGUCCCUGGGCUAAACUUUAAGCCAUGCUAAAGUUUAGCCCCCUUAAAUGGAGGGUUAAAGUUUAGCCCCCUUGGGCUGUUUGAAAAUUAGGCUAAACUUUAGCACCUAGGUUUACAAAAGACUCAUUUACCCCCACUUCCUUCCUUCCUCCUAUCUCUUCUUCUCUCUCUUCCCCUUCUCUCGCUCUUCUCCCCACCUCCCCCAGCCGCGCCAGCCUCCUCGCACGCCGGCGGCCCUGCGCCCACCCGGCCUCCGCGCCCCUAGCUGCCCUCCCUCCCCCGCUGGGAGCCAGUGGCCACGCGGCCAAGCUCCCCUCCCUCCCUGCAUCGGCAGCCGGUGGCUGUGCCCGCGUGCCCAAGCUCACGUUACUCCCCGCGCCGGGAGCUGGCGGCCGCGUCCCAGCCUCCUUCCUCCCUGCGUCGCGCUCGACUCCCCGCACACCAGAAGGUCGCUUCACUCCACUCCACCCCGCCUCCCCUCUGCAUGCUCCGAUGGUGGCUCGAGGUCCGACGAAAGCCUAAGGCAGAGCCCCGCGCGGCACAACCGAGCUGCGGUGGGCGAGCAAUGGCAGAGCCCCAUGCAGCAGCACGAGCUCCGACGAGCGCCGGACCUCUCGCUAAGCCGGUAGCCGCGAGCUCUUCCGCGUGCCACGGCGCUAGGCCGGAGGCCAUGAGCACGCAGCCGGCCGCCCCGGAUCCAGCGUCAGGGGCGCCGCCAAAGAACUCGGCCGAGGCGGAGGCGGAGGCGGAGGCAAGAGGAGGGCGGCGGGGGCGAGGUUGGGCGGCAGAGGCGGCGGGGCCGGCCGGAGGCGGCUUGGCCGGCGAGGUGGAGGCGAGUGCAGUGCGGAGGAGAGAGAGGGGGGUGCGGGAGGGCAACCAGGGAAAGAUGGUCCUUGGAACCACUUUUAACACCCAUUAGCCCAUUUUAGCACCCCUUAAGGGGCUAAAGGAAAAGGGGGGCUAAAGUUUAGCACCCCUCCUUUAGCCUAAAAUGGGGCUAAAAGAGGCGGGCUAAACUUUAGGCCCCCCCUCCAAACAGGGCUUAACUCAACUUUGAGAAUGCCAGACAUAAAUUUUACCUAUUUUAGUUUAGGGCACUAGUUUUGAGGUCCGAUAAACCGUUUCGAGCACUAUAGAGUCCUGCCACCUCUUCACACUAUACCUCCAUACGACCCCUACACACUCCAGAGCUCAUUACCCGUGGCUAGCCUCUUCAUGGCGUGCUCCACUUUAAUAACUCCCUCCCAAACGAGUGGCUUGCCGUCUCCCUCAUCUUUGUGCUAACACAUGACUUCCUGAUAUGCACCCUGUGCUUGGGUCGUGACAUGGAGUUCAUCCUUAUCUAGGUGGGCUUCGCACUCCUGCAUUAGCUCGACCCAGUAUAUGCCCACAACCACAUCUUCAUCUUUCACGACGAGCUCCACGUCCUACCACCCUUCCUCUUUCCUAAGAUGUUGUUCGUAAAGGUCAUGCUUACCAACAUCUAUGACACCUGCAGCCCCGACACCAUCCAUGCUAUUACAAAGCUACACCGACGGGCUGUCCAAGUGGGAGGAAGAGAACCUCCACACGGUGCGCUUCGCACAAGGUGUUUUGAAAUGUUGGACUUUACAUGUUUUAAUGCCGCGGCAGUGAUUUGAGACUUUGUUUUAGCAGUUGGUUUUGCAUGUUAGUUUUAGGAACUUUUGAUGUCGCAGUAGAUAUAUUUUUGUUGCUGCAAAAGGUGAUUUGAGGCGCAUGGAAUUUUACAUGUUUCGAUGUUGUAAGGAUGAUUUGAGUCUUUCAAGUUGGCUUUGGGUGUUGAUUUUAGCAAAUUUUCAAUAUUGCAGAAGAUAAUUGUGAAGGUUUUUACUGCAAUAUGUGUCUUUAGAAGUUGGGUCUUACACCCUCCGUCCCAAAUUACUAUUCGUUUUGACUUUUCUAAAUAUGUAACCUUUAAGAUUAUAUCUACGUACAUAAUAAAAGUUAUGUACGUAGAAAAGUUAAAACGAAUAGUAAUUUGGGACAGAAGGAGUACGUGUUUUGGUUUGCAACGGAGAGUAUUUUAGCAGUUGAUUUUGGGGGUACAUGUUGGCCUCGUAAUGAUUUGAUAUUGCAAUAUACGUAGGAACAAAUAUUUGCGGGAGCAGCUCGCAACCGGAGCAGCAAUACGCUCCACUGCCGUUGGGCAGCUCGCCGUUGGGUAGCUCAUGGACCUCACUCGGACGCUGGAAGGUUUUCUUCUGCUUUUGCUUUUGGAUCGCGACGGGAGUAGGGUGCAGACGUUUUUUUAUUUAUUUAAUGGUUAAAUCGGUGCGUCAGACGUUCAGGAGCUAGCGAGACCAUAAAAAAAUCUAAAGAUAUUUCAUACUGAAAUGAAAAUAUUUUAUUAAUAAGGUACUAUUGUGUUCCUUUUUAUUGAUUUUUUCCCUGUACGGGACCAAACUCUUUUUUUUUUCCGAAACUCUACGGGACCAAACUCCAACGGCUCAACCCCAACAAUUUACAUUGUGCCACACGGUAGUAGUUCACGGCUUGACAACACUGUCACCUUUCACUGACCAGAUGCUGGUGCAAAUCACACCUCGACCAGAGAACACGGCAAAAAAUUAGCACGCAGCGGCUUCGAGCCUUCGAGCGAUCGACCGAGACGACCAAUGCACGGACGCUCGCUCACCAGACGGGCAGCAGGUAGCAGAACUCGGCGUCGUACGGCUCGACCUCCACCAUCUUGGCCGCCGGCGCCGGAGUCCCCACCGUGCCCCUGCCGCCGCCGCUAGCGCCCAGGACCUCCCUGAUGGCCCGCCGGAGCGGGCCCGACGCCCGGGGCAGCUGGCUGUGCACCCACUCCAGCAGGGACGCGUCGUCGUCGGCGAAGUCCCGCAUGUGCCAGUGCAGCAGCUUGGGCACCACGACGGCGCGCUGCCUCCGGCCGCCGGCGACGCGCACCGCCGCCUCCAGGUACUCCACCUUGGCGCGCUCCAGCUCGUUCGACACGUCCUCCGCCGUGUACACGCGCAGCUGCAGCGGCCGCGCACGUGAGGUCAGUGUCAGUCUGUGGAGCAGAGAAAAAAAAAUGCCAGUAUGUAGGAGGAGCUCUGGCAGUGACUGAUCGGCAUACGCACCGCCGGCGAGGAGCGGCUGCCUCUGCACAGCGCGAAGACGACGUUGGGUUCAGGGUACCCGAGGCCGUACAAGUGCAGAAGAUCCCUCUGUCCUUCGUCCAUGAUCCCCUUAUCAUCAUCAUCAGAAUAUCAGAUAACCUUGUUGUUAAGAAUUUAAUGAAGGGAAAUGAUGUAGUAGCAUCCUAUUCCUGCAAGAAAGUUUAUGGUUGGAUGGUGUAAACCUAAUCUUGCAUACCUGCUUGCCUUCGGGAGAGUGCCUCAGGAUGAGGUGCUCGAUCGACAGGACAUUCAGCACUGUUCCUCCGACGUUCACUGAAGCCUGAAUGCCAGUUUCUGUUAGCAAUGUGCGUAAAGAUGACGGAAUUCGAUCUGAAUCAUCAAAUUUUUUGUCAGCAAUGUGGAAAGAAACGCUACACCUGAUUCAGCAGCGCAACAAGCUUUUCCGGGGAUGGAGGUAAACCGUGCUGAAGAAACGCCUGAAAUCAUGCCGGAAUAACCUGUCCUGAAUCAGCAUUGUUGCUUUCGAGCAAUUGUUCUAUGCCUGGAGAUGCAAUUAAAGGGCAGCUUACAGUACAUGCAUCACGCAGAAGUUGUAGAUGUUGAUCCAGAACGCCAGCUUCUGCUUGUUCGUCAGAAGGCUCGGAUCGGCGGUGCAAAGCUUUUGCAUCAAUCCCCUGUAAGAGAACGCACACGCAAAACAAACGCUAUCAUUCAGACCUGAAGCUUCCCCUGACCGUUGAACAACAACACGCCCAAACGGGAAGCCUCACCUCAGGUUCUUGAUGUCGACGAGGCACAGCGAUAUGCGGCUGACGUCGACGGACGCCCUCGUGAACUCGACGAACCUCCUGUGGCACCCGGCACCGGCAGCGGCAGUCUCCUUAUCCGCGCCAUGUCCGGCCUUCGCCGUCGCCGACGCCCUCCGGUUCUUGAGCGGGCUCAUCGCGGCGGCGGCGCCGGUCACGGCGACCCUGGGGACGAGGCUCCGAGGCCCGAUGCAGGAGAUGUUGAGCUUCGACGCGCCGCCCAGCUCCAGCUCCCCCGCGUCCCCCGCCUUGUUCAGCUUUUGGAAGAUGGUCACCAUCAGCCUGAUCAGCUCCUCCGACAGCUUGUUCGGGCUGCUCAGGCAGACCUUCCUCUCCGGAGGCGUCGGCGUCGUCUCCGACGGCUUGCAGUGGCUGCUUCUCCUUGCAGUGACAUGCUCCAUUUCAUCUCCUAAUUAAAAUAUCAUGAUGAUCAAGCAGCAACAAAAAAAGAACAUAUGAACUCUGAACUCGCACGUGUUUUUGCUGAACAUUUCAUACCUUUGGCGGAGGCGGAUCCAACAGAAGCCUUGCUCUCGCAUUCGAGAGCUUCGUCGCUGCUUGGGCAGGGCAGCUUCGGCAGCUGCUGGGCACCCUGGAGCUGGAGCUCUCUCCUGGACACGGAGUGCCGGGGCUGGCGGCUCUGCGGCCAGCUCUGCUGCUGCUGCUGCUGGAUGCACUGGUCCGUCCACCUCUGCUCCCGGCGCAGGCGCAGCCGCAGGUCCUCGACCUUCUUCUCCAGGUAGAAUAUCUCGUCCUCCACCAUCGCCAGCUCCCCAAGCAGGCCCCUAACCUACAUACACCAGUGCGAACAAAGCAAGUGAAAAAUUCAUGUCAGUCAGCGAACACGUUCAGCAGACAGGCAUUUUGGUCAGGUUCCAGGCUUCCAGCCAUUGGCAUGAUGAGCACACAGAAGCACAGAGUUACCGACAGAAGAAGAAUUUUACAGCUGAUGCUGACAUGGUUAAAUACUUCGUGAGAUCGAUCGUACUGAUACCAUGCCAUGGAAGGCACUGAUCAUUGGUCAGCUAAUGGAGGUACAAUAAUGCAGGAUCCAAGGAAACCAGCAGAUCUGGUAGAUAAGAGGUAGGAGGCAGCGAUUGUCCGCAGGCGACUCGAAACGGCGACGCUCCAGAUCGGACACAGUACUUCCGCGUCCUUCGUUCAGAGGUCAGAGCCAGGUGACAUCGGAUGAGACAGGAACGGAGGCAGGAAUCCAAAGGACAUACUGUACCCGCACCUGGCGUUGCUCUCACACCCGGGGUACGGGGACCCUGAUGAGAUCUUGGGCCCGUGGAAUGGAGAUCAGGAAAAUGGCCGUGCUCUCUGUUACUGUUACUACUACUGCGUGCGUGAUGUUACCGUAGGUGAUCUUAUUGGGUGCAGGAUUUGCAGACAUCUGUACGAGGGUGACAGCGUCACGUGUGUGAUCUUUCAGUUCAGAUGCUGCGGUGAAGUGAAAUGCAUGCUAUGAUGGCAAUUCCUCUGCUGCUGCGGCUGCAGUGAUGGUACGCUGGCAAUCAUGCUUGUUCGUCGUCGUCCAGACUUCAGACUGAACAGCUUCAACUUUUUAAGCACAGCUCCAGACAUAUGCAAAGUGUGCCCUAUUGUAGUAUUGCUACAUAAUCUGAACUAUCAAGUGUAUCCUAUUGUAGUAUCGUUUACAGAUAAUGUAAGCUACCAACGGUAAUAAGGUAACAUGAAAGAAGAACAUAUCGGAAGCUGCAAGGCAGAAUUUGCUCGAAUGGUACUCGUGCGGACAUCAGUUCAAUCUACGGAUGGGGGAUGGCAAUAAUCCAUGAGCUUACACUGAGUGUCAGAUACUUAGACUGACGGAACUGAACAUUUAGCAGCCCAUCAAACAGAGAUGAUCGGACGAUCGGAAGGUGAGCAGAGAGGUACUCACAUUGGUGGGAACGAGUGUGGAGAGGCAGCAAUGGCAGACGACGCGCCCCUGCAGCGAGCACUGGAGGACCCUGCCCAGCCGCUGCUCCUUCUCCAGCACCGUCUCCAGCUCCGACACCUGCACACAGCAAAGGCCCACAGCGUUCAUCAGCUCUGAAACGUCGAGCGGCGGCGCUCGCCGAUCAUCCAUCGCGCGUGCACGCGCAUGUCAGUGUCAGUGCUCUGCAGCAGCCGGCCUGACCGACCUCGAACUCGAGCUCGAGGCGCUUCUCGCGCUGCUCCUCCCGGUCCAUGAGGAAGUACAUGAGCUUCAUCUUGCACCGGCGCACCCGCGGCCUUCUUAAACCCGCGGCGCCCGCGCCCGGCCUCCCCCGCCGCCGGUGCUGGAGCGAGGUGGGGUAACUCCUGGCGCCGCCGGCGGCGGCGGUGGGGCGUAAUGGCGUCGGCGAGCUCAUUUAUGCGUCUCCCCGUCAAGAAAAAGGAGGAGGCUGGUGGGAUGGAGGCGCGCGCGGUAGGCAACGGUGGCGGUGAAGCCGGGGGGACGCGUCGGCGUCGGCGUCGCGCGCGUCACGCUUCCCGUGCGGGCAACGGAAAUCUCUGGCCCAUGCGACGCAUGACCGGCUUAAAUUCACCAGCGGUUGACGCCAACGCUCGCUCGGGGAGGAGUUUGCUUGCUUACCGAGGGGCUGAGAAUUUAUGCCCGUGACGGGAUCUGUUACCGAGGAGACUUUGAUGAGGGGUCUCUCCUCUCCUCUCACAUUUUCUCUCUCGAUUUGUUAGGCCAGUCACAGCACAAUUUCAUUGCACAUUUACCUGAACUACGUAACUGUGCUAUAUAAAUUUUACUAGAACUCCUUCCUCGUUUGAUGAAACUUCCUCUAUUAAUUAUCUUACCAAGUCAGCAAUUUUGCUGAUGUGAUAUUAAAUUUAAUGCCAUAAAACUUCCCAUCGAGACUGGUCUUACUGUACCAAUAUUUUACUGUACCAAUAUUUUAGGCAAAAUUUGAACCUUGAAUAAUAUGGUUUGGUUUCCUAUUUCAUUCGUUAAAAACAUGAUAAUUCUGAAGUGACCGGCACUCUUUCUUUCUUUUUUUUUAACCCAACAAUUCCCAGGGUCAGUUUCCUUUUCAGAUUGUUGAAUUGUAUUGUGGAAAAGAUUGCAAAACAUAGUAUAGGUUCAAAAAUUCAAAAAAGCUAGCACUUCCCCCGUCAAAUGUAAGGCUUCAUGCAUCAUCACCCUAAUCUGAUCCUGCCAAUCAGCUCAAGGUACAGAUACUCUUUCAUUUCUCCGAAAGUGCAUUGGCUAGGGCAGCAUCGCUAAUCCCCUUAGAUGUGCCUACAAAAUGUUUUGUUUGAUCGGCCAAUAAUGAACGCAUCAUUCCAUCAUGGUACAAUUCUGACGCUGCGUCCCAAUCAUCGCAGGCGUGGAAAAGAAUCCUAGUCCUAGGACAGUGUAGGGUUUCAUACCAAUACUGUUAUGUCAUCAAUGAAAUCAAAUUAUCACUUUCAGAACACAGUUUCAUAGAUAACCUGCGAGCGAUGAAACUAUAACAUUCUAGUUUCAUAAGGAUAAAACUCCCCUUUCAUCUCUCCUCAUAAUUAGAUUGCCAAGUCAGCAAAACGGCUGAUAUAACAGAUUUGGACGGUUUCAUGAGGAUAAAACUCCCCUUUCAUCUCUCAUUGCCAUCUCUCCUCAUAAUUAGAUUGACAAAUUGCCAAGUCAGCAAAAUUGCUGAUAUAACAGAUUUAAUGCCCAUGAAACCUAGAAUUUAAUACCAUAAAACCCCACUGAAACUAACCUUUAAGGCUGGUGAAACGAUGAGCGUGGCCUUAGUGAAACGAUGAGCGUGCCAUACAACUGCUUUGCUGCCUCCGUGCAAAGAUUAGCUGACCCGUUGCAUUCACAGGCCCGGCUAAUCCGCCCUCAUUAAACACAAAAGACACAGAUAAUGCAAAGUUCCAAACGGAGUCACUACUAACGUGGCCAGAGCAUUUGGCUGGAUAGCCGGCAUCCACCCAACAACAUUAGGAUAAUGCAAUCAAAACAAGCCUAACGAUUCAGCAACCUAAAGGUCCAUGUAGAAAAACAGCAUCGAAUCUGGUGUAAUGUGACUCACCACAAAAGGGGGCUAACAAAAAAAAACCAUUAUUGAUAUGUCCAGAGGUAGUAAACAUUAUUAGCAAGCUCAAGCUGUGGCCUCAGAAAAAGCUACAUAGCACAGAAAACAAUUCUGUUCCUGUUCAGCGGAUCUCCGCGUCAGGGGUGGAAGGGUCGGGGACACAUCUUAGGCGGACUUCACGGUGGCCGAGUUGAUGAUGUCGAUGAACUCAGGCUGCAGACAAGAUAGGGGAUAAGAAACAGUCAGUAACAGAGGAUGUUGAUAAGGCCAGACACCAUCAUUUUGUUGCAGUCUUUGGUUUACAAAUUAACAGGACAUCAGCUGUCUUCCAGGAUUUUUCGUUACCUUCAAAGAAGCACCACCGACGAGGAAACCGUCAACAUCGGGCUUUGCUGCCAGCUCUUUGCAGUUUGCAGCAGUCACAGAGCCUGUAGGAAGAAGAGCACAAAUAAUCAUGUACCAAAAAGAUUUAGCAGCUGGUGCACAUUUGUAAGGCAACUGCUCGAGAAGUGUAUACCUCCGUAGAUGAUCCUGGUAGAUUCGGACACCUCAGGGCUGACGUUGAUCUUUAGCCAAUCUCUCAGGGAUGCGUGCACCUGCAAAGAUAAUGCAAAUCUGAGUGUUUGUGCGACGUUGUAGUAGAUGAAGAUAUUUAUAAUUGCAAGAGCAUAGCCCAAUGUUGAAAAAUGUAUGAACCAGUAGAGAGUUGUGAGAGUUAAGAGAGACUUACUUCCUGAGCCUGAUCAGGGGUGGCAACUUUACCAGUUCCAAUGGCCCAGACUGGCUCGUAGGCAACAACCACGUUGCUCCAGUCCUUGAUCUUCUCUGUAAAACAAACAAGCAUUACAUCCUUUCAGCCUGAAUUUCCACAUGGCACCAAUAUUUUUAACUUGGCAAAUUGAAGAUAAGGCACAAAGUUAACAUGAAAUAAACAAUCCAGGCAAAAAUAAACACGUAAUCCUUCCAAUCAACAGGGGGGCACAGGAACCAAUUUCUGAACUACAGCUGCUAGAGAAAAACAGUAAUGCCUGAACUAGAAGAGUACAUUUUCUAACCAAACUGAACGCCGGGAUCUAAUUAGCGUAAAACAAGAUUAGAAACGAAGUGUUUAUCAUAAGAUGUAUGGCUACCUUUUUUAUAAUUUUGAAGUUCUAUAUGCCUGGGAGAUAGACAUAAAAGUAUUUGGAUAUAAUCAAUCAACAAUCCACAUGAAAAACACUAACAGUGAAUACAUAAAAAAGAGAGUAUGCACAAUCACAGGACUGAAUGUAAAUGUGAAGUACCAGCAAUUGCUUUUGUUUGUGCAGCAACAACAUCCAUGGUCGAUCCAGCUUCCCUCUGCUCAAGGGUCUCACCAACACAUGCAAUGACCUUUAGUCCCUGAGAGAGUGCAUAGGCGACUUUGUCUCCAACAAACUGGCAUCCAAGCAGAAGAUUGAACCAUUAGAUGUGAACAUUCUUAGAACAGGUGCAUCAAUAAUCAAAUAUAUCGCAGAUUCAUGUCUAAGGGAAGGAUUAAAGAAGAAUAACUGAACAAGUCUCAGCUCAGUAACUGUAACAUAGUCCGAUUGGCAAUAUGCAUAACAGCACAACCACAAUGCAAAUGACACGAAAGACAUGCUGAAUUUGAACUGGAGCAUACCUCAUUUGAUUCUCCCAACAGAGCUCUCCUUUCAGAGUGUCCAAGAAUGACCCAGGGAACGCCAAGGUUGACGAGCAUCUCAGCACUGCAUCAAUAAUGGCUUGCUUAUCAACCAACACAAAAAUUGAAUGAGGAAUGCACCGAAGCGCAAUGUACAAACAGCUUAAUAAGGUUAUAUAUGCAAACUGCUUAACAUGGCAUCAGCAGUAUGAAAAUAACUAAAAUUGAGUGAAAGCCUGAAAGGUGAAUUCAAAAGACUCCAUGCAUUAAUGGUCAAAGGAACAUGAGCCUUGUGCUUGUGUAAACGCUGCAUGAAUUUGCAUUUCAGAUUCAACAUUAAUCCUUCCUCACAAGGGCUAUACAACAUAUGGGGUGGACAGCCAGGAGAGAAUUAGAGACUAACCUGACUUCACCAGUGAAAGCACCUCCCUUCUUCACCCAGCAGUUCUGAGCAGCAACUUGGAACUCUGGGCGGAGCUGACUCUUGACCACAGGAAGGAACACAUAAGGAGGGCUGACAACAACCUCUGCAAUGCAACAAUUCCAAAUAGCUAAGUACAUCAUACAAGUAAAAUUUCUCAGAAGUACCACAAAUCUGCGAUGUUCAAGGUCACCCCUAAAAGGGAAGAGUCCAUACCAACAACAUCUGGAGGGGGAACCUGCCCUUCAUUCAGAGUUUUGACAAUCUUGUCAACCUGAUCGGCGGUUCCAUUCUGCAAGCAUGAAGAUCGACCAUGUCAAUAAUCAGUUAACAAGCAAUUCACUAGAUAUGCAUGUCAUUUGUAUGAGAAAUUUGGCAAAGCAACAGGCUCUUUCACUACCAACCGAUUUGCAAAAGAAGCUCCAAUCUAAGCUCAAAUUUACCGAGUUUCAUCACAAGAAAAUCCAUAAUUUACGAGCUCCAUCACAAAAACAAUAAAGGUUCAAGUCGCUAUAUCUAUAACAAGCAUUGCACGAUCUUAUAACGAUACAGUGAGGAAUAGUAUGUAAAUUGGGGGCUGAUCUGCGUGGCAGAUGAAUAUGGAUCUCCAGAAGUUGGCAGAUCGAACUUCUAACCGCUCCUGGAAACAUGCAUCACACAAGGUUUUAACGGUUUGUUCUGAGCACGAAGCACAGGCGGGUUGCAAGAAUCACGCAGGCACUUUUCAGCUAGGUCCAAACAUACAAAGACCAUCAACAUCACGUUGUCUGAUUCCGUACGAGAAUGACUAAAUCAGUUGUAUUCCUGGCCGGAUCUUAAGAGAUAGCACCUGGAGCAACACAUCCAGUCUUCCCAAACAAGACAGAACAAAAAAAAAUAUCCAUACGUCGAUCUAAAUCGAGAUGGGUAGAAUUCACUAGCAAUUUCCGCCCUCGAAUCCCCCAAAAUCACUAGCUCAACCGCAAACAGAACGCGAAAAGGGAUCAGAAAAGAAAUCCAAAAGCUUCCCACCCGAUCCACGACGAGAAAAACAGGCAGGUAGGAGGGGAAGAGCGAUUACGCAUUUCCAGUUGCCACCGACGAAGAACUUGCGGCCCAUCUCGACGAGGUGUUGGGUUCGGAAGGAAGAGGAUGGCUGGAUGGGGACUUGGGGAGCUUCUAGGUUGGAUUUUGCUUCUUGUGGAGGAAGACCGGAAGAGACAGGAUGGAUGGAUAAUAUAAGGCGGGGCGAGGUGUGUGGCCUCUGAUGUGAUCACAUGAGGCCGGCCGGCCAGGACUCACGAUGACAUGUGGACCCCGCAGCCACCAUCGAGUUUUUCUAGAGCUUUUUCCCCCUAAAAAAAUGUCUUGGUAUCUUUAGGCAAAAGCUAAAUUGUUACGUGUACCAAGGAAGCUUACUCGAAUCUUUGCUUAUGGAUGGCUCGUAUGAUUGCCUCAAGCUCCAAGCUGAUGUUACAAUAUCUCUAAAAAUAGCUGGAAGUAUCCUAAUUCGCCACCAUCUUUUUUAUAUAAGGCAAACAUAUCAAAAGUUCUCCAAGUUCCUAUGCAGCUUGGAAUAAAUUAAACCAAACUAUAGUUUAGCACAUUGUUAAAGCUUGUAAGAGGUUAGUAUAAAGUAGAAACGUUUUAUUUCAAAAAAAAGAAAGUAAAAAAACGUCAUGUUCGUAUGCUCAUCUGCUGCGCGCAUAAACGAAUUCUGGCGGUGGCCUUAGCUAGGUUGGCCACAGGGGACGCGGCUGCAGACGAUCCCACGGUUGCGGGUGGUAUUGUGGGCACCUGGCACAGCAGCGCGGAACAAGGGGCGGCGAAGCAGCGGCGGAUGCGGAUGGCAUGGCAUCGCGCUCGUGCGUGCGUCAUACGUGGCUGCUGCUGAAUCGAUGCGCAUCUCCGCCUCGGUGAUUCCGCUUUCCGGCUUUUGCCCGUGCUGCCUCCUCCUCCUCCUCCUCCUUUUGGUUCCUCGCCUUCAAUAUAGGCCCACUCGCUCCGGAACGGGCCACAGGUCGGCAGGUCCCAUCUCAGCAGAUUCGGCCCGUUUUAGAGACCCAGCAAAAUGAUUCGUUAAUAUUAAGUAUGAUUGAUGAAGUACGGAGUAAGUUUCUAUUUUAAUCGAGAAAGUUGCCCGGCAAAAUUUGUAAAAUUCUCACGGUGAAGGUGCGAGAUUUAUAAAUCACACCCCUCCUAAGACUACAAGAUGGACGAUUUGACAUAGAAUUCGGUUCAACGCGGUACAAAUUUCUACGGCACAUGGGCCUACACCAUCUUGCUGCUAUAUAUCACAUCGAUUUCUUUAUAAUAUUUUUUUAUCUCACUUCAAACUUAUAUAAAAAAGAUUAUAGCAUCAUUGACUUUUUAAACAAACUUUGAACAACAAUAUUUAUUUAAUGAAUUAGUUUAAUAAAGCAAAGUAAGUACCACAAUGCCUAUUAUAAAAAAAAUGUAGAUUUAACUUAUAAAUUCAUCUAUUUGCAUAACUAUUUGUAGAAAAGAUUAAUAGUCAAAUAAAUAAAAAAAAUUAAUGGUGUGCUAUGAAACUAUGCAUUGAGAUUGGUCAAACUAAUAAUGAAUGAUUAACAUCUUUGCUACGCAAUGGUCAACUGGUUGAUAGGAAAAUAAAGAGAGGGGCUGCGUGCUUUAAAACUUGUAGAAGAAAUAGCAGGAGUGAGCACAACAACUCAUCGCUGACCACCAACUCUCUUUGCCAUUGGCGCCUUCGCCUUUCUUUCCAGGUAGCGUUCGUUAUGAUGAUGGUUACAUCCGCACUCGCUACCAUGAUUUAGGCAUCUCUUAGCUUUGUCGACGUUUCCUUCUAGAACUCAAUGGCAAUUGGUCUUAAAAACUGAUGAUAUGAUAGGACGUGUGCCUCGCCGUCCUACCGUAACCACGAAAUUUUAAAGACGACUGGACGCGGGUGAGCAAUCCUCUUGUCAUUGUUUUGUUGUCCGCAGGAAAGGAGUUAGUAGCAGCUAGCUUUUCGUCAAGGUUGGCAAGACCGGCUGCGUAGCUCCGUCCUUAAUUAGUUACCACGUGAAUAGCAUGUUUUUAUAUAUGCUUUAUUAAUUGGUAGCUCCAUCAAUAACUACCGGUAUUUCAUCACUUCCAAGAUUCAAUGGGUUUUGCUUACCGCUUUUUUUUCCAUUAAACCAUCCUGUCAACACUAGUUAUGCAAUGUAAUUCGCAUGGUUGCAGUAGGGUCUGUUUGGAUGUGUUAUUGCUAAAGUUUAGUAUUUUCAUCCAUUAGUACUCCCGUUCGAAGACAUGGCUAAUGGAUGGAGCUAAAGUUCAUGAAAAGUCACUUUUGCCCUUUUAUCUACUCACCUCCUCCCUUUCUCUCUCCCUUUUUGUUUUUUCACAAGCUAUUAACACCCAUUAGCUUCUCCCCACCCGUUAAUGCUUUUGCAAUUUUUUGAAGAUGGGCUAAAGUUUGGAUAGGCUAAUGCAUAAAGAGGUUAACUUUCGUCCAUUAAACACGCCUAUAAUCAAAAGUUGCUUCUUCUUUUUUACUGGCUUUUGACCAUCAUGCGAUGAGUGAUGCCGUGGCGGUUGCGGGGUGUUUUGAUGAGUGAUGCCGUGGUGGUUGUCCUUAGGGGGUGUUUGGAUACUAGGUGCUAAACUUUAGCAGCGUCACAUCGGAUGUUCGGAUGCUAAUUAGGAGUACUAAACAUGAGCUAAUUAUAAAACUAACUGCAGAACCCCUGUGCUAAUUUGCGAGACGAAUCUAUUAAGCCUAAUUAAUCCAUCAUUAGCAAAUGGUUACUGUAGCACCACAUUGUCAAAUCAUGGACUAAUUAGGCUUAAUAGAUUCGUCUCGUGAAUUAGACUCCAUCCGUGCAAUUAGUUUUGUAAUUAGCCUACAUUUAAUACUUCUAAUUAGCAUCCAAAAUACCCGAUGGGAUAGGUGCUUAUUCAAACGGGCCUUAGUUAUCACGUGAGCAGCUAUACCAGCCUUCCACCAAACUAAGGUCACCCGGUGGUCCACAUCCACAUGUUAUUUACAGAAAGGUUAAUAUCAUCGACCGUGACCUGAAUGAAGCCUUAAGGAGAAGGUUCUCCAUGCCGGGACGAGUCAUCGCCCUCCGUGGCACGCAGUGCGAUCUCUCUGGUUGCUGCUAGUCAUGAAACAGGCGAUGUUUCAGAGAUCUCAGGAUUUUCAGACACGACGUCGUGUUUCUUCCUUUUUCAUGUCAGUCAGAGUCGGGCACUCAGGCCUACACGAGUCACCGACCAUUUUUUCAUCAGCUGCUAGGCUAUUUUUCUUCACCGAGGAACAGACCACAUGUCCGGCCAACGAAGGUUCAUCGCGUCCUUUGAUUGGUGACGGUAGAGCUCUCGCGCCUCUCCCGUUGACGUCUGGUGAUUCUGUCUGCCACACAUCUUAUCUGACAUUCUACAAUCGUUCAAAGAUCUCACGCAUCCAUGAGUAAGGUUUGGGGAUGAUGUUGCAUCCGGAAAUUUGACGACCGCGAGUGGUAUGGUAAUAAAUACACGGACUGAGCUUGAUCAACGUAGCUUACUCCACAUGUAUACGUACACUAUAUACACUAUAUCUAGAUGCAUAAUAAUAUCUAUAAAACUAGAAAAGUCAAAAUGACCUAUAAUUUGGAACAACCAUCAAACUUAAGUGUCAAAAUUAAGGUUCUCGAUUCAUCGUCUAGCAUAAAAUUUGCUUAAACCCCGACCUGUUCUUUUUUUUACUGUUGCAACUUGUUCCACGGUGGAUAAAAUCGUUGGCGCAACUAUAUAAUGAUAGAUCCGAUUUGAACUUGAUUCGGAAACGCAACUAGGUUGGCUAAACAUUGAAAACUGCACUAUAAAUGUUGGCAAAGUAAUUUGUGUUGCCACGUCAACCUCGCGUGAGAUGGUCUGGAAUGUGCUUUUUAGGCUGACGCUCUACUCAACUUCUUAAUGAGGUUUAUUUCUUGUCGGGGACAUUUGUCGUGAUGCCUUCUCUUCCAUCUUAAGAGGAGUUUGGGUUGAAAGACCUUGUGCCAGCUUUCGGUCGGCGUUGACAGUGCUUGCGGAUGUUGUUUCCUUGCUGGAGGCAUCAUCGUUGUUACCCUUUCCCUAAGUUAGUUACCUGUUUUGUGUGAGUUGGCUGUCAACUGCAAGUGUAGUGGCUGCAGUUUCUUCCUUGUGGUGGUUUAUGGUUGUCGUGUGGGUGUGGGCUAAUGGUUGAUUCUGAUGACUUGUAAUUGUUGUUCUUUUAUUUCAUAUUCUCUAAAUUAAUCUGUGGGCUUCGUCUAAAAAAAUAAAAUUCAGCCGCGUCUAAAAAACUUUUUGCCAAAUUUCCUGUCGUAUCUCUUUUUUCCCUAAAAUUCUUCCGACGGGCCGGGCCGGGCGCGCCAUUUUUGGCUAAAGUUACCGCAGUGCCCCUUUUCCCCCAGUCGCAGGCUCGCGGCGCAGUGAGCCACACGCCCGCACAUCACGAUCGCUGCUAGCGGGCCCCGCUUUCAGUGACCGCACACCGAACGAACCCGCGCGUGGGACCCACCGCCCAGCGGUCGAACCACCCCUCCCUCUCUCUCUCUCAGCUUGCCGCGACGAUAAGCACGGCAAUCCAAUCCACCACGAAGCCGCCAUCCGCCAUUAGCCCUGCACCACCCCGUCACGCAAUAGGCAGGAGAGAGGUGGAAGAAAGAAAGAAAAAAAAACAGAAAGGAAAAACACCAGCUUACACGAAUCGUCUCGAGCCUCUCGGGUGAAGUUAUAAAUAACCCCCAUCGGGGCUAGGGUUGAGGAUUUUCUUUCUUCGCUUCUCGCGAAUCGCCGGACGAGCAGGGCAGCAGGCCGAAUCGGUUCGAGGUCUCCGCGGGAGGCUUCGCGGCGCGGGAUCUGCCGCGCAGGAGUUGACGGUGUGAUUCGGGAGGUGGGGUUUUGGCGGGCGGCGCCGGGUUCCCGGUUGGCCGAUUCGGGCGAGAGGCUGGGGCGCGGGGGCGGGCGAUCGGGCCACUGGAGCUGCACCCACUGGUUGCGGGCCAUGGCCGGGAUCGACGCCGGGGAGGGGGCGGCCGCCGCGCCGCCGGAGAUGUCGCCGGAGCAGCGCAUCGAGCAGGUGCGUCGCGUGUCCGCCUGGGGCCCCCUUCCUUCCCUCCCUCCCUCCCUCGUGUGUGAUCCUCACCCCAUCAUCGACCCCGUGCGGCGGUGGCUGCUUGCCGGGUGCCGUCGCCCCUCUGGUUCCUGGUCUCGUGAUUGGUUGGAAUCGGUUCGGCGGGUGAUUUGAGAUUUUACCGGUCGAUGGGCGCCGUGGGACUCGUUGCUGUCCGUUGGCGGUGGUGGUGGUGCUUGCGAUUUGCGAUUCCCUUCGAUGGUGCGAUGAUUGGUGUGUUUGCUGUGAGCCUGUGACAGGAACUGACUGGUGUAGGGAGUUUGGGGGUAGGUCCUGUUUUUUAGGGUGACGCAUAUUGGGAGAAUUUGAGAACAGGCCUUUUAAAAAUGUGUCAAUUUUUCAUACUCCGCGUAACUUCACUCUAGUUCUAUUUCCUUAUUAGUACCUUUGAAGAAUUUGUCUAUUUUUUAGUUGAUCCCUAAGAUAGGGAUGGGAGAUUCCUUCAGAACUGGGUGUGUUUCUCGACUGUGUUGAAGAUAAUCAGUUGUCUUGUUGCAGUUGCAGUGAUAUGAGUUUCACUUCAUGAUAAAUUUAAAUGAUCCAGCAGGGUCUUUUGUAAUUUGCUAAUUAUUUGGCAUUGCCCUCACCCUGCAGAAGCUCAUUCUCUAUGGAGUACCCGAAGAGCAACUGCAAGAACACCAAGAAGGCUUACUCAUGUACAUAGAGAAGCACAAAGAGCAGAUACCUGAUAUAGUGAGGCUGAUCUUGUCAGUAGGUACUGAUAUUCUGGAGGCCCGAAAGCCCUCAAAGAAGGAAUCAAGUAGCAGCAGCAGUGGCGAUGCGUACAGUGAGAGUUUGUCUUGGUUGCAGUGGUUGAUGUUCAACCAUGAGCCAGAAGCGAUGCUUCAAGACCUGGAUCGUUCCUCUGCAGGAGAUCGUGCUGUUUGUGGGUCAGUCUGGGGACAGAGUGAUCUUGCGUAUCGCUGCCGGACCUGUGAAAAUGACCCCACGUGUGCAAUUUGUGUCCCAUGCUUCCAGAAUGGCAAUCACAAGGAUCAUGAUUACUCCAUCAUGUAUACAGGGGGUGGAUGUUGUGACUGUGGAGAUGCUACCGCCUGGAAGCGUGAAGGGUUCUGCUCAAAGCAUAAAGGGGCCGAGCAGAUUAAGCCUCUUCCAGAGGAGCUUGCACAUUCUGUAGGACCUGUGCUGGAUGUGCUUUUGCAGUUCUGGAAGGAGUGGAUAUGCCUGGUGGAACCACCCCCUGCAAAGGGUGAUGGUAGUAGCUCAUGCAAGAGGGUUGCUGAAGAGUUGACAAUGUCAAUUACUAACAUGAUGCUUCAGUUCUGCACUUGCAGUGAAAGCCUUCUUAGUUUUCUGUCCCUAAGGAUCCGUGAGUGCCAAGAUCUGUUGGAUGCAUUAAUAAGGUCAGAAAGGUUGCUUGACAAGAAGGUUGCUAAAAAAUUGCAUGAGUUGCUAUUGAAACUUAUCAGCGAUCCUGCUUUUAAGUAUGAGUUUGCCAAGGUUUUUAUACGCUACUACCCUGUCACAUUUGGUGAAGUUAUCAAAGGGUGCAAUGAUUCGCUACUGGAGGAGUAUCCACUGAUGCCAACUUUCUCUGUGCAAAUAUUCACAGUACCUACACUAACUACAAGGCUUGUGCAUGAGGUUAAUUUGUUGGGUGUUCUUCUUGGAUGCUUGACAGAUCUGUUUCUUUCUUGCAUUGGUGAGGAUGGUCGUUUACAGGUAUGCUCAUGUCUUCUUUUUAUGAUUUGAAGAGUUUGAUGUUUAUGCUGAACUAUUUUCUGGUAUAAUGGAUGUAAAUGUUAGGCUGACCAUAAGACCUUACGCCAGGAGUCUAUCAAUGUUGUUAUAACGAUAUGUCAUCUGGAUGCCUAGUAUCUUAAAUUGCACAGAAAAAAAAGACUAGUAGAAUUGCCACUUUGAUAUCUGGGAAUGGAUGAAUGAUAAACAUUUCUGGACAAUACCCUUGUUGGUUUCUGUUAAUUUUUUUUUGAGAAGUGGCAUUGAAGUGCGAAAAUAUUUAUAGAUAAUACUGAUUGACUGGUAGUCUUAUGCCAUUGUAUAUAUCAACUCAGUGCAUACACAUACAAUGCCACUUUACUUUCAUAUGGUUACGGGAGACCCUUUUCACCUUGUUAUUUGCAGACAAACAAAUGGGGAAACUUAUUUGACGCUUCUGUUCGAUUAUUGGAUGAUACACGCUAUGUCUUGAGUCAUGAGGAAGUUUCUAAGUAUGUUGCUUAUGAGAGGCCUGAUCUAACAAGGUCAUGGAUUAAGCUCUUAUCACUUGUGCAAGGUAUGGAUCCUCAGAAGAGAGUGACAAGUAUUCAUGCUGAAGAUGAAAAUGAACAUCUAUCUGCACCUUUCGUGCUGGGGCACUAUUUUGGAAUUGUCCAGAACCUUCUGAUAAAGGGUGCAUUUUCUCCUCCUGAUCAACAUGAAUCAACUGAUGUUACUGUUUGCUCCUCUGCGAUAAACGGCAUGGAGAGUGCUGAAAAUCAACGGCAUGCAAAAGUUGGAAGGGUCUCCCAGGAGAGCUCAGUAUCCAAUUUAAGCAUCCGAGACAGUUCUUUGAGUUGUGGUUUGCCGUCACCUGCUGCCUGGUUAAUUCUUCAAUGCCUGAAAGCUAUUGAAAGUUGGUUGGAACCUGACAUAGCUCUGAGGAGCAAGCUGUCAUCCCUUGAUCCUAGCAGCAGCGAUUCUCGUAAUUUUAUGGCUUCGCCUGAAGAUCGGACUUCUGAUAAGGGAACCAGUUCAAAUACAAAUAUAGGCGUGAUGGGUGUCAAGAUAAAUGAAGGAUCACAACCAGAUGGUACUGCAGAUUAUCGUGAUGUAUCUAGUUCUCCUGUUCAUGGUAAUUGCGACAGGAUGCAGAUUGACCAAGAAGAGAUACCUUCAGCUAGUAACAGGACAGGCAAAGGGAAGAUGCAUGACAGCAGCAACACUACAGAUAUAGAGUUGCACCCUGAGAAUGCCAUUACUUAUACUCUGACUGACGGUAGCCUUUUGCACGCUCAUCCUGAUUCAAGAAUCGAGGAACUAGGAAUACUCAACACAAGAGGUUGGCCUCAUGUUAUCUUUGACGUCAGUUCACAAGAAACUUCUUUCCAUAUCCCUUUGCACCGUAUGCUUUCAUUGCUGUUGCGGAAGGCGAUGAAGAAAUGUUUUGGAGAGGAUGCCAGGCCAGAUGAACAUUCAGUUGUGCAAUCCUGUGAGUUCUUUUCUCAGGUACUUAGAGGUUGUGAGCCUUAUGGGUUUGCUUCGAUUGUGAUGGAGCAUCCACUGAGAGUCAGAGUAUUUUGUGCACAAGUGCGUGCUGGAAUGUGGCGUAAGAAUGGUGAUGCAGCUAUACUGAGUGCUGAGUGGUACCGCUCUGUGCAAUGGUAAUUUCAUACUGAUCUCAUGUUGAUUCACUGUUCAAAUAAUGGUGCUAAGGUUAUCUUGUUACCCCUAUUUCCAGGCUUGAACAAGGUCUGGAGUCAGAUCUGUUUCUUCUUCAAUGCUGUGCUGCACUAUCUUCUCCAGAGUUCUUUGUACGAACAAUUCAAGAGCGAUUUGGUUUGUCCAGUUAUACAUCUUUGGAUCUUGCGGAACAGAAUGAGUAAGCCCUAAUAUAUGCUUGUCAACUUCUGUUUCUUUCUAGUAUUGCUUCUUCAAUUUCUUGCACUACCUUACCUAUAUAUGUAGCUUUGUGGGUUUGGCGCAGUCACUUUUUUGUUUCCACCGGUAUCUACCAAUAAAAGUUACAAUGGUGACAAAAGUUAAAAUGAUUCUUCCCACCUUCCAGCAUUACUUCUCUGACUACGUAUUGCUCAUCUUUUGGUUCCCAUCAGUAGAUUUUAUCUGUCAUCACAAAUAAGGAAAAAAAAUAGCCAUUUUCAUUUCUUUGUGCCUUUGCUUGGCAAGAAAGUAAGGUGCCAUUCACUCCGUUCUGUUAUAAAUAAGUCCCAGUUUCUGUGAAAGCCCAAUAUUAUAGGUCCAUUUAUAGCAGCUACUCCCUUCUUGUAUGAAGUCAUAGAAUCUGUGCCAUCAGACUUUCUAAAGUUCAAUUGCCAAUUUGUUUAAAACCACACUAUAUCAAAACGCUUUCACAAAAUUAUAACGUUAUUAGUAUCAAUUGACGAAGUUAGGGAAGUAGCAGUCAAAGUCAUGUGUCCGAUACCGCAAGAACCAAGAAGUAAAAAAGUGUGAUUCAUAAAAAGAAAGGAGAGAGCAUUUAGUUCUAUCCAAAUUUAUCAAAGACAACAAAGUUUUAAGUAUUUGGUCAAAACUAGCUUUGUUCAAUUUGAGCUCCAUAAUCCAUGAGAUCCAGUCAUGGCCUAGGGAAAUAUUGUUUGCAUGCUUGCCUUUUGCCUUCUCUAUCGUCCCUUCACUGUUUUCACAGUUAUUCAGACUAAUUUCUUACUGAAAAUUUUCUCACAAAAUUUAAGAAUUAUUUUAUGCCACAUGUAGGUUCUGACAGUAUGUUGCUUUCAGGUAUGAGUCAGUUCUAAUGCAGGAAAUGCUAACUUUUCUUAUACAAUUGGUUAAAGAACGCCGUUUUUGUGGGCUUUCCACAGCAGACAACUUGAAGAGGGAAUUGAUUUAUAAGUUAGCUAUUGGAGAUGCCACUCAUAGCCAGAUUGUGAAGUCUCUUCCUCGCGAUCUUUCAUCAAGUGACCAACUUCAAAAUGUUCUGGAUUCACUGGCAGUUUAUUCUAAUCCAUGCGGCAUGAAGCAGGUAUUAGUCCUUCGGUUUAUGUAACACAUUCCCUUAAAAUGCAAGAUUAAUGUAAAACUUUAUCGCAGGGUAAGUAUGUACUUCGCAAAUCGUGCUGGAACGAAUUGGACUUGUAUCACCCCCGCUGGAAUUCUAGGGAAUUGCAAAUUGCGGAGGAGAGAUAUUACCGUUUCUGCAAAACUUCUGCUCUUAAUGCUCAGCUACCUCGGUGGACUCACGUUUUUAGCCCACUGAGAAGUAUUUCUAACGUUGCAACCUCAAAGGCUGUCCUUCAGAUUGUUCGUGCUGUUCUCUUUUAUGCUGUUUACAGUGAAGCAUCAUCAGCAUCACGCGCCCCUGAUAAUGUUCUCGUGACGGGUUUACAUCUGCUUUGGUUGGCACUUGAUAUUUGUGAAUCAGAAAGACAAGUACAUGCCGACCAGUAUGGCAUGGAUGUGGUGCAGCAUGAUGAUGAAUCAUGGGUUGUUCUGUCAUCGUACACAGAAGAGGCUUUUCCCAUAUUGACUUACUCUACUGAAGUAGUUUCCCCGGAGUCUGACAAUGUAAAGAAAGAAAGCAUGUUAACCCUACUUGUGUUGCUAAUGCACAAAUACAAAGAAGAGAAUGAUGCCACCUUUUCUGGAUCCAAGUACUGUAAUAUUCCAUCCCUAAUUGAGAGCUUAUUGAAGAAAUUUGCCAAGUUAAGUAAGAAGUGCAUGUUUACAUUAAGACAAAUGGCGCCACAUGUAGUCCCAUCUACACCAGACAGUUCCAGUAUCAAAGAAAGCCUAGGAACUUCAUCAGAUCCCAUGGAAAAGAAAGCAAAAGCACGUCAACACCAAGCUGCAAUUAUGGUAAGAUGUUUAAUUACAAAAUUCAUAUAUAUUUAGUUACACAUUAGACAUGUCUCAGAUAACCAAUUACCAGCCUUAUUUGAAUGCGAGUUGUCUUUGUUGAAUGAGCUUACCAAAAAUAGACAACUUUAUCAAUUUUCUUUGUAUAUGUACUAGUUCUGCAGUUUCCUUGGUUUGGUGUUAAUUUUGUUUUUACGGCUUGUAAUGUCUACACUUAUUUUGCACAUGCUUAGGUUGUGAAGUUAGUGGUUUUGACCUUUUUCUAAGUUACAUUAAGGCAUUAAGCACAAUUUUCUUCUAUUGGACCCUAUUUAUUUUAGGCGAAGAUGAGGGCAGAGCAGUCCAAAUUUGCUGAAAGUAUGAAGUCAUCAGAAAACGAGGGGCAUGAUGUUCCAAUGUUAGAGACAGAUGUGUCCAGUUCAACUGGUGCGGUCUCUGAGGAGUCACUACCAGUUUGCUCCUUGUGCCGGGACUCGGACUCCAAAAGCCCUCUAUGCUAUUUGAUUCUUCUUCAGGUAAUCAUUGUUGACUUGACAUUAUCUGGUGAUACCUGAUAGGUCUUAAAGUAGCAACUGUCCUUUCUGCAUCAUUUUGGCGUGUAAUGUUUUCUGACUAGUGUUUGAAUAGCAUGUUGAUGUGACUUAAGCUUUCUUAUGUGUCCUACAAUUCAGAAAUCUCGGCUUGCAACUUUUGUUGAGAUGGGUCAUCCAUCCUGGGAUAAUCCAACUCAAGCAAACAAGACGUCUGGAUCAGUCAAGAAGGAAGAUUCAACUGAUUCCUUGGUCUCUGGUUCUUCAACUUCCGAGGAACUUGUCGAUGACACGACAGUAGAGCCAUCUUUUGAUUUAGACAGCAUGGAAGUUGAUGCCUUUCUUGAUUUUUCAAAUGAGCAGCAUCCACUAAUUCGAUAUAUAUCGUCUUUCCCAAGUGGACAUUGCAAUGGCAAUGCAGAUGACACUGUCUCGCUUGAGGCAAUUGAGGCUGAUAUUUACAACUCUAUUUUAAAUGAUGUAUUUGGAUCCAGUAAUGCACACAUUCAGAAUGCUGAGCAAACGUCGCCAUCAUCUGCUUCAAGUAUCACAGUUGAUUCCAAGAAAACCAGAAGCCCCAAGCGUUCUGUGCUGGGAACAUAUGUUAGUUGUCUAUCAGCAAAACACCGCCAUUCUUCACUCUAUGAUGUAGCUUCCAAAUCUUCUGCCUCUGUUAGUACAAGAAACAAGUUUGGUCCGCUUCAUUGUGAUGGCAUCCACAUUUCUUCUUGUGGACAUGCUGUACAUCAGGAAUGCCAUGAUCGGUAUUUGUUCUCCUUGAAACAAAGGUAUGCUGGGUUUUCUCCUUCAAAUCCCUUUUGUUCAACUGUAACUAUAGGCAGGAAAUAAAUAUUUUACACUUGUGCCCUUUGGGUAGGUGUUGUGUUUGAAUGGUGAUCCAUCAGUUAUAUGAGUACAGAUGCACACGAUGGUUGACUUAUAACCUUUGGAUGAUGCAUUUAAUUUAUGGGCAAUUAAUUAUUUGGCCAUCAAAUAAGUUCCAGUCUAUGAUUUGCCAUCGAGCAAGUCAGGUUUCGCGCCAGCAUCUGUAUUCUAAAUUUCUUCACUGCAUGCCAUUGCCGGAUGGCUUGGUGUGAUUUUUCUUUUAAUUUUAAAAUCAUGAUGGUAUGGAAAUUGGACUUGUUUGAUGGCAAAUCAUGAACUAGAAUCUUCUCCUAUGGUAGAUUUUGGAUUUAUUCUUCAAUGAUCUUUCAGUACUCUAUACAACUUGCUGUUUAGGAGCCUACUUGAAUUAAUAUAUAACACUGGCUGCACACCUCCUGUUGAUUGAUGCUUGCAGAAAUUUGUAACUUAUUUUCCCUUACAGAUAUGUCCGGAGACUUGGUUUUGAAGGUGGUCAUAUUGUCGAUCCUGAUCUGGUAUGUAUAUUGUGUUUGAAACUUGUCUUUUUUUUGUUUUUGUUGAUCCUGUGCUUACACAUUGCUAUGUGCAGGGAGAGUUGCUUUGUCCAGUAUGUCGCAGAUUUGCGAAUUCCAUUCUUCCAGCAUCAACUGAUUUCUCUAGUAAAACAUUGAAGGGGAAACCAUUUGUUGAAACCUUGACCCGUGAAGUUGUUAUUACAACUACGUCACAUCUAAAUACAAGUCACUUACAGUUUCCUCGAGCACUAUCACUUCUUGAAAGUGCUGGAAAAACUGUUGGACAAAGCAAGUUUCUAAAAGCUUUAUCAGGGAAGCUUAAUGAUACUACAGAGUCAUCCCUAGAACCUUCUCUUCGAAGAUUAGCCAUGCUUUACUAUCAUCGUGGUCCCAGCGGUUUUUCAGCAUCUGAAAGGAAAAGGCUCAAUCCAUCCUUGUUUCUCUGGGAUACACUAAGGUACUCUGUGGUAUCUACAGAAAUUGCUUCUCGUGGUAGGAUGUUAAACCAGUCUGCUGAGUCAAAGUCCUGCUUGGAAUCUUUGCGUGGUGAACUGAAUUCAUCAAGUGGAUUCAUAUUGUCCCUAUUAUUCCGUGUUGCUCACUCUGCACGAAAUUUGAAUCGUCUUGAGGUUCUUUUAAGGUUUGAAGGUAUCCAACUAUUAGCGGGGUCUAUUUGCUCUUGCAUUUCUGGUUAUAAAGACGUUCUUAAUGCUACUAAGCGAAAAGGUAUAUAGUGCACCCUUUCCCAUUACUUUUUUUAAUGUAUUUACCUGCAUGUUAGAUGGUACUCUUUUCCUUUGUUUUGAAGUGUCCUAUUAAUCCCAGUUCUAUCACAAAUCAUGACUUUUCUAUUUCAUUCAGUUUGGAAUUUACAAUAUUUACAAUUAAUACAAUAUAUUCAAAUUCAUGGAUUCUUAUAUGUUAGUGAUUUGAUGAUUGAUAUGUUGGUUCUUAAUUGUUAGUGUUUGUAGAACGGGUUGAUUCUUUUUUUUUUUGGCAGUGCUACUAUUAUCUUGUUGUUUUCUCUGUUGUGCUGACUAUGUUGUGCUGAUUAAUUGUUAUUGUUUCUGUCUUAGAUCAGAUGUACAAUUUUUUGUGGAGUGUCACUAUUGCCUUUGCUUUAUUAUUGUCCUGAUUUAUAUGCUAUGAACCAUUUUAAGUUUUUAUCUUAUUUAUGAUCCUAUUUUGCUUUCCUCUUGAAAGCCCUAAGUGUUGUAUAUCCUGCAUCUUUGUAUUGGUGAUUGUUAGUUUUAUAAUUUGUAUCUAACUGAAUUUUGAGUUGAUAGUACUUGCAUAGUGAAGAAUUCUUGUCUAGAUAUACUUGCAUUGAUUUUGAAGUAAUAAAUAAACCUUCCAACUUGAUGUAUUAGUAACAAAGUGCCUGAGUAAAGAAAUUGAUUUUUUCUUUGCAAAGACCUAAGCAUUCAUUAUCCAGUGCUCGUUAAAGAAACUAAAUCAAAAGGGCGCGGACCAGUUGUUGUAGGUUCUGUGCCUUUCAACAAAGUGCCUGAGUAAAGAAAUUGAUUUUUUCUUUGCAAAGACCUAAGCAUUCAUUAUCCAGUGCUCGUUAAAGAAACUAAAUCAAAAGGGCGCGGACCAGUUGUUGUAGGUUCUGUGCCUUUCAAGAAGGCUCCAUUACAUGUCAAAGUAGAAGUUGACCUAAACGAAAGUCAAUUUUCUUGUAGAACUGAUUUGGUCAUCAUAAUAUGCUAACAUUAGAUGUCUGAUGUACAAGAAAAAUAUCAAGAGGUAGUAUUUGGUUCUAAUGAUCAUAGCCCGGCAACUUGCGAAUUGCAUUUCUAAAAUUUGUGUUGCUGGCCUGGAUGGAACUUGAAUUAUUCUAUCUCUUGUGCACAUCAUGUCUCCAAAUCACUUACUCCCUCCGUUCCAAAUUGUAGGUCGUUUUGGCAUUUCUAGAUUCAUAGCUUUUAAUAUGUUUUAAUAUGUAUCUAGAUGCAUAGCAAAAACUAUGAACCUAGAAAUGCCAAUUUGGAAUGGAGGGAGUAUGGAAUAUAUAUUUAGGUAUCAAUUCUCACCUUUUUCAUCUUCAACAGGCUCUUUGCCACCUAUGGUUGAUCCAGGUGAGGAGGGUCCCCUCUUCCCUGACGUCCAAUUUUGGAAACAGUGUGCUGAUCCAGUCCUUGCUCAAGAUCCAUUUUCUUCUUUGAUGUCAACACUUUUCUGUCUACCUGUUCAGUUUGUAUCAUCUGCUGAAUUCUUCAUCCCUUUUGUCCAUCUGUUUUAUGUUGUUUGUGCCAUUCAGGUAUGCUGUUUGGUGUUGCUUUCUCUUGAGAUUUGCAGUUUAUAUGUUAGUUUUAUUUGAUUUAAAGCAUGUUAUUACAUGAAUUUUCCUGUAGGCCCUGAUAACAUGCUACGGAUCGGAAACUUUUGACCGAUCUAGCUUCAGUGACUGCCUUCUUAAUGAUGUUUGCAAGACAAUGUCAGGAUAUGAUAUUGCCAGAGAGUAUUUUGUAUCCAAAUAUAUCGACCCGUAUUGUCAUCCAAAAGAUAUGGUCCGUAGAUUGACGUAUCCUUAUCUUCGGAGAUGUGCAUUGCUUUGGGAGCUGCUAAGAUCGUCUGCCACAUCACCCUUAUAUGACAAUUCCAAUAUUUGGGAAGGAUCACAUCUUUACCUGAGCAAUAGCACACAAGAUGGAAGUUCUUCACUGGCAAUGGAGCUAAAUGGAAUAAGCGAAUUGGAAAAGCUGUUCCAGAUUCAGUCACUGGACCUGAUUCUCCGAGAUGAAUCUGUACAUGUGCUGGCCUUAAAAUGGUCUCAACAUUUCUGUGAAGAUUACAGUUCUCGCAAAUAUAGAGGCUCUCUCUUUUCUACCCCUGCAGUUCCAUUUAGGCUGAUGCAACUACCACCUGUCUACCAAGUUCUCCUUGAAAGGUUUGGUCUGAAUCUUCUAAGCUGAGAUGAUGUUUUGCAUGGGCUGUGCCUUGAUGGGCUAAGCUUUUCCCACAUUUCUGGAGCUAAUGGCUUGUCAUUUUUUGGAUCAGAUAUAUCAAGAUGCAAUGCCCCGAUUGUGGCUCAGUGCCUGAUGAACCGGCAUUGUGUUUGCUUUGUGGCAAACUAUGUUCACCUAGCUGGAAACCAUGCUGCAGGUGAUAGCACUUUGCUUUUUACAGUUCCAAGUAGCCUUGUUUUGGUUCUACUGUAAUUAAUGCUAAAUCCUAAUUAUUGUUUAUUCUUUGUAGGACUGGUAAAUGCCUGAAUCAUGCAUCACAAUGUGGUGCCGGUGUUGGCAUAUUUCUUUUAGUGAGGGUAUGUAUUAGCUUAUUAUUUGCCAUCACACCAAAUUAUUAUGGCCAGUGUACUUUCCUUUGUUCUUUCUGAGACCAAGCUCCUUUCCUAUUUUGACGGAUGUGCUGUGCAGAAAACAACGAUCCUGUUGCAGCGAUCUGCUCGUCUUGCCUUUUGGCCAUCUCCUUACCUUGACACGUUUGGGGAGGAGGUAUUGAAUAAUUUCGUAUGCUUUGUUGUUGUUUAUGGACUUAAGCCUGUUUGUUACGAUCCCCACUAAAUUUUCCUCCCAGGUCUCAAAUGGGAGCUUUUUUCUUUUUGAUGUUAUCCUCGUGCUUCUCCAUGAAGCAUCUCUUACAAUAGCAAUACAAAGUGAUUUAUGAUGGCUUGAUGCCGUGCCUAAUCAUCUGAGACCUUUUAUAGAUCAAUGCUGUGCCUAAUCAUCUGAAUCUUUUGAUACAUCAGACAUACUGCUGUAGGUCUGAUGGCGUAUUGAUCCUCUUCACUUUCUGUUUUCUGUGGAUAAACAUUGAUUAUUUAAGGUUAAUAUGGGUGGUAGUUUAUGCCUAGCUUGCAAGGCAAAUGCACUGUUAAGUGGGGGUAGUUGAGAUUUGUCCUUGCAUAGUUGCAUUCAUACUGCAAGGUCAUUAGACAAAUGCCUACAUACAAAAUUUUGCAAUGAGGUAAAGGGGGAUUUUUUUUUACAUGUCUAGAUGUGAGCUUAUUCCCCUUCCCUUCUGGCUUUCUGUUUGAAUGCAGGAUCAUGAAAUGCAGAGAGGAAAGCCUUUGUAUCUAAGUCAAGAAAGAUACACAGCCUUGACCUAUCUGGUAAUAGGCUGACACCCUUUCCUCUUUGCUUUCUCGACUUAAUGCUAUUAGGAAUUUGCACCAUUUUUUAUAAAUGGGAUGCAUGCCCUUUUUUAUGUGAUAGGUGGCAUCUCAUAGCCUUGAUCGAACUUCUGAAGUCCUUCGGCAAACGACUAUCAGCUUUUAUGGAUCUGGAUCUGAUUAAAUGCAAUUUCCAUGGAACAAUGUUGAAAGGUUUGGAUUAUGUUUAUGUUUGGCAUGUUGGAUUUAGAGAAUGGAAGGAUUGGCAGCUUUGUUUUCCCAAAUGCUUGUUCAUUGGUCAUAAUGGUUGGUUUAGGUGACAAACGGAAUUUGAUUAGUUAGCAAGGGCAUAUUUGUACUAUGGUAUGUGGUCACUAUUUACUUCUCUUAGUAGGCGUGCACAAAUCUAAACAUUGAAUAUAGAAAGAAGACGGAGUAAUCUUAACAUGUGUAUUAGACCCACCAGAGCAAUUAUGCUGCUGGCAGGUCACCCAGCCACAAACAAGUUUUGUCAUGUACAGUUCUAUGAAAGAGCUUGCCAAUGGAAUGAGAGGGGGCCAAUAAGAGAGUGGAUUAGAUAACAAUUAAGUGGUGACAUAGGGCAUUGCUUACCCUUGGCCUUAGAGAAGCUUUGCAAUUGUCUUGAACUGCAACAGCAGUACUCCCUCCGUCCCAAAAAAAAAAGUCAUUAUAGGAAGUUUAAGACAUACUAAUAAGGAGGUAAAAUGACCUUGUUUACCCCUAUUUAUUAGCCAUAUUUAGCACAAAUGGACAGCAUUAUGCAUAUGCACAUACCAAAUAGGGUAGAAUGACUUGUUUUUUGGGACAAAUCUUGAACCCUAGAAUGACUUUUUUUUUGGGAAGAGGGAGUACAUGAUAAUCUCUGUCGAAUCAUCACCGCUCACACCUUUAGCAGGACAAAUUUUACAUUGCAGUGUGAUACUAGGGUUAUUGUUAAUUUAUCAUUUGCUGCCUUGUCAGGGUCUUGUGGAUGUGCAUAUUUUUGGGAACUCUAGUGCAACUUGGUGUUCAUAUUUUCCAGCGGUAACAAGUGUUACCUCUCCCAAGGUUUACAUCUACAAGCUUCUUUUGCUAAUGGGCGUUUAAGUGCAAAAUGCUGUGACAUGCCUGUGCCAUUGUUUUCGCUUCUGAUUACUUGUCGAUCUUCCGGAUGGCGUGGAUCCUGCAGGCUUUGCCACCGGUCGUGCUUGGGGGCCCUGCCGUCCUCUCUUGCUGAAUGUACGGUUGUUUUCAUGCUUCUUUUCAUUGUUCAUGGCCGGUGCUUCCCAAAGUGGAUGAUAGGUAGGCCUAGUGGCGACCUGGAAUAUUUGACGAUCGACUGCUUGAUCUGUCUGUACAGUGUAUUACAUUGGAUCGGUGUAGUUAGUAUGAAAAAGGCAGGCAAGUGCCAUUUGGUCAUCAUGUGCUUUUGUGUACCAUGUUGCUUUGUCAUUUGUCUGCUGAAUCUUUCGAGUUCUUGUUUCUUUUUUCAUGCAAGUUCUUGUGUUGAAGCGAGGUCAGAGUGCUCUGCAUAGGCACUAACACAUUGUUUCGUUGCAGCACUAACACUCAGCUUGGGAGCGUCCCUUGUUGCAACCUACGUACGGUGUGCUUUGCUUCGAAGGUUGGGUAGAAAAGCAAUGAGAAGUCGCAUGAAAGAAAUGAGUAUUCAAGUCCGCAUAUCGCAUAAAAGGUGUAACGGUAAUUAAAAAAAACUCGACGAGUCCAAGGCUUCAAGCCUUGGAAACACAGUGGCUGUACCAGGUGUAUACAAAAGUCAUCUGCGGGAGUACUCAUCAACCAACUUCGUUCAGCUUGAAGAUAGAGGCUGAACAUCCGGCGAUGGACCAUGUUGCUUGGUUCUUCUUCGAGGAGGCACCUCCUGAAUUGCUCUGCUUUGGCGCAGCCAACCAUCUCCAGACGUUUCAGCUUGCCUAGAUUCUCUGCCUGGUCCAGGGCUGGACAGUCCUGCACGAACAAAUCCUCAAGCUUGGAAAGAUUGGCGAUCCUCGUAAGGCUUCGGUUGUGCUUCACCUUGAGCCACACAACAGCGGGAAGGUCCACAAAUCUCAUGUAGGCUAUGCGCACCUUCGACAAGUUUGCAGCCCUGUGCAGAUCUUGAGGGAGUGCCCUCAAUUUUGGACAAUGCAGUAGCGACAGACGCUUGAGGAGAGGCAUCAGUAUCACCUGGUUGGGGGAGUCUCCGAUUGUGUUCUGAUUGCACAUGCCUACUGUGCUCAGUGAGCAGGCCUCCACAAUUUUAUGAACAUUACAUUCAGCUCAAAUUCCUCAAACAAGACAUUGAAAAGCGAGGGCAGGAGAUUCAGCACGCUCAAACAAUACAAAAACGCCUUAAGCGAUCAUAUAAGCACACUGCAAAAAAGACAGAAGGCGCCACUGAAGAGGUGAUUUACAGCUAUCAAUCAACAAAAUUUCCGAUUCGACUACAAUUUUUUUGUAUCGAACACGCAAGAGAUUUGACUUGGUCAAAGUUGUGUUUUGAAGACUGGGUACUGCUUAUUUGGAACUGGAGUGAGCAUUAUACGUGUUUUCUUUAUGAAUAAUGUACUAUAAGAACAAAACAAAAGUUGUUCCAAACUAACCAAAUAAAAGUUCGCAGUAGAAAACUAUUGCUACAGUUAUAUCAGUUCCUUUUUGCGCAGCAUCCAUCUUUGGCGACAAUGGAUGGUAAUGUGUUCAAAUUUUAUUCCGUUCGGGUGCAAGUCUACUGUUGAAUGGCUUGGCUUCAAAACUUUGCCGCCCAGUUGUGCCUUGCGGACUUGCAGUUGCGGUGGUUGCCCACUACUUCAGCUUCCAACGGUCCAAGGUGUUUUGCACCAGCCACCAGGUACUGUGCCAUUCUGAAGAGCAUAUCAAAUUGUCGAGGAUUUUGGCCCAUAGCCAGACAUCAUACCACAGUCCAAGGUGCACACUGCAAUCCACCGUCGGCGGACCUGCUGAUCACAUGAACAAUGUCUGGUGUUGAUGGACGGCUAGUAACCAUGAUACCGGAACAAUUUACAAGGACGAAUGACGUUUCAGAGUAUCAGUAAAGAACAUUGCCAAUCACAAAAGGAGAAUAUAAGCUGAGAAAUUGCUGAAACAGUAGCAAAGCCUAAAUGUUGAUAACAACAUAUCAGUAUAUCACAUUAGAAAUGAAGCCAUACACUUUACUAAGCUAGUUUGCUCACCUUUCUAAUGAUAGAGAGAUUCAUCUGGAAAUAUAUCUCGGCCAUCCGCACCAACUGUUGCAACAUGUACUCAGAUGUCUUGUUCUUCUUUCAGGAGACAAUUCCUGAACUGCUGUCCGUUCAGGCAGUCAACCAUGUACAAGCACUUCAGUGAAGAUUGGAGAUUCUCCUCAAAGAUUUAUUGUUCUUGACCGUGAGCCACAAAACUUCAGGAAGGUUUACAACUUGUUGAAGCUUGUGAGCACCUUCAAUGUGAAUCCUUUUUAAAUUAACAGCUCUAUGCAAAUCUUCAGGGAGAGCUCUUAGUUUAGGACAAUCAAGGAGCAACAGGCGCUUAAGGCAAGGCAUCAGAACGAGCUGUUGAGAUUUGGUCUCCAUGUUAUUACACAAGCUUCUUGUUUUGAGGGACCAACUUUCCAAAUUGCGCAUGCGAAUGAUGUGAAGCAAUUCGAGCUUUGGGAAAACAGCUGCUGCUUUAGUCACACCUCUCCCCAGGAAUUCUGCACCCAUAGUCACUACUGCACCUGCACCUCUAAUCUGAAGAACUAGUAGUUCUGGCAUCUGGCCUACUGGUGGUAGUUGUAAACAUGAUAUGCACUCAUUGAGCUGCAUGUGAGACAAAUUUGGAAGCUUAUACUCUGGCUCUGAACAUAGCCAUUCUGGGAACCUUACACCAGGGAACCCAACAAAGAAAAUGUAUAAUAGGCUUGGUGAUGGAAUAAGCAUCUCAUAGACUUGCUGAAUUUUCUCAAUCUCACUGGCUUGGUAAUGAGUUUUAUCAUGAAUAUUCAUGCCCACUGUGCAGCACAACCCCAGUUCUCUGGCUUGGUAUUGCCUUUUCAAGCUUCUCAACCCAGAGGCGUUGGAUAUUGGUGAGACAUUUUAAUUCAUCCAAUCUGAACCCAGUCUCACUUUCAAAGACACCUCUGAGGUAGUAGAGCUGCUGGAACUGGCAAUUCCUUUUGGAACAUGAUCAAUAGCAGUCUUUUCAAGUUUAAGAAAACUUAUCUGUGAUAGUCUCAUUAAACAAACUGUCAGACUAUCCAACUUAUGGCAACCACGCAAUGAGAGAGAUUCAAGGCUGGUAAGCCUUCCAAUCGAAUCUGGAAGUUUGCUGAUCUCUGUAUAACUUAGAUCUAGCAACCUCAACAACACCAGGUUUCCCACUGACUCUGGAAUGAUUAGGAUGCCCGAUCCACUUAGAACUAAGACACGGAUGUGCUCAAGCUUUCGGAAAAUAUUCGUGUUAACUGACUUGAAGUUCUUGUUAUUGAAAAUUAGGAGGCUCCUCAUGCAUUUAUACUCUCCUAUAGCAGGUAUUUCUUCUACAGAACUGCUGAUACUUAAGCACCGCAGAUUAGGCGGAACUUCAUUAUUUUCUGCAUUCAUGAAUAAGGAAUGAUACCUUGUCAAAUACUGCCCAAGUGACCUCAAUAGAUCGUGCAUUGUUGAAAUACCUUUGUCCACGAAUUCUGGUUUUGGUUGCAGAAGAUUCCUCGUAAUUAGCUCAUAAUAGUAUUCUUCAGCAAUUGCAUGAAUCGAGCACUUGUGAUCUUUCCUCACAAAACCUUCAGCAACCCACCAGUAAGCAACAGCAUUACGCUCGAUUGCAAAAUUUGGAGGCAACAAAGCACACUCUUAAGUUGAGGGGUUAAGUUGCUAUAACUCAUAUAUAGGGGGCCUCCUAGUUCUUUGGGAAGUCCGUGGAUAGACCAGUUGCUAUCUCGGAUGCUCUCCCAUUCUGCCCUUGUUCUUUUAGUAGAUAGAACACCCGCAACAACCGCGAUGGCUAGAGGAAGACCAUCACAUUUUCUUACUAUUUGACACCCAACAUCACUAAAUUCAUUUAGUUGCACAUAUAUGGUCGGAAAGACUUCUUCAUUAGAAGUUCCAGGCCAUCAUAAUCAUUCAUUUUGUUUACUUGGUGAGUAUAUGUUGCGUGCAUUCCUGCCAAAACAUCCAGGUUUCUUGUGGUGACAAGGAUAUUUGCAUUCGAGCAUCUCUUGAAAGGCGAUCGGAGAAGAUCAAUCCAGACAUCAGAUUUCCACGCAUCAUCUAAAACAAGAAAUACACUCUUUCCUCUGAUAGUGUCCAUCAGAUGGAAAAGAAGUUCGGUCUUGGUCUCAAGCUGACCACAUGUUGCUCCAGCCAUUCGUAUUGCCUGCCUUGGCAAACCAAUCUCUGUGUAGCUCUGAGAAACGCACAACCAUAUAUGAACUUGGAAUUUCUCCCUUAUCCUCUGCUCAUUAUAUAUCUUCUGAGCUAAUGUUGUCUUACCAAUGCCUCCCAUCCCUUGAAUACCAAAAACAGUUGAUUUGUCUUCAUGAAAAUUACUAAGAAUCAUUUUGACCAUGUCAUCAGUCGCCUGUCUGAUAUCUCUUCCAAAAACCUCUAGUUCAUCUAUGGGUGAUGUCUGACUUCUAUCCACAACAGGUACUUGAUACUGUUGACUACUGGUCCUCUCCAAGCUGAUGAACAUGUUUCUGUUCUUUUGAAUUUCAUCUAGCUUUCUGUUUAUAUCCUUGAUUCUUUUAGCAACCCUGUGAUCAAAUGAAAGUUUCGCGAUAAAGGACAAAAGGGACUGGUUGCAACAUUCCAUUCUAGGUGGCAGCAAUAGCUUCUGUGAGUGAACCAUGAAGUGAUCUAUGACAUCAUCCACAUCAAACAUAACGUCAGUCAUGUUCUUCCACCAUGACUCUGCCCCCCUAUCUUGCUUCAGCAUCCUCACCAACAGCGCCAAAAUGUUCCAGAUUUUUCUUGAGCCUCUUGAUAUCCCUUUUCACACUCAAUGUCAUUGCAACUUCAUCCUGGAUAAUCUGACUAAGCUUUGCCAGGAAUUUUGAAGUGAGAGCAUCCAAAAAUGCACCCAUACUGCUCAAACAGCUAGACCUAUGGAUUGUCACCGGAUCUCACUUGCCCUCAAGCUUCAGAUUGUAUAUGAUAUAUCUCAGUUAACCGCAGCUCAUUCGAGAUUGGAAAGGGUAGGAGAUGUUGAAAUAGAGGGAGUGCAGUUUGAUGGAAUUGGAGAGGCCAAUGCACAAGUGAGCUGUUAUAAGUUCCCAUCACUGUAAAGACCCGACCUAAUCAUAGACACCUAAUGUCUUGGGCAUUCCCAUUUGCUUCCAAUCUUUUCAACACAGGUAAGAACAUAUAUCUCAAAAAACAAAGGACUAUUGUUGCAGACUUGCUGACGGGAGGGAAAGAGUCGCCACCAGAAAAUAUUUGUUUGACGGCAGACAUUCGUGCAUUUCCUCGAACAGUCCAUAUGCGUUCAAUCGUUGGUCUCCAACUCUCCGUAGACUAAGUUUCUUGUUUAUAAAAAAAAAUCGAGAGAGAAGAAUUUGCGAUAGCUGCUCCAUCGUUUUCGCCAAUCUACGUACAGAGAGAGAGCGAUCAAAACAGGCCGUCUACUAACAUCACCAGAAACAAAUCAGCCCGAAACUUCCAUUAGAUUUGUAGGCUUUUUCGCAGAUACACAGAGAGACCUGCAUGAGAAGCGCGCGCUGCGGUUGUCCACUGCAUUGAUUGGUUGGCGACGCCGACUACCGGCCGCGGCGAUAGCCACAGCUCGUCGGCCGGCAGCGCCGCCCACCGCCGGAGAAGAAGCCUGCCAUCCAGGGGCUCCACAUGUUUAUCGGGCCCAGGCGCACAGCCCAGCCCAGCGACACGUUAGUACAACACAGGCCGGGCCCUCUCUCUCUCUCUGUUCGUGUCACGCCGCCCGGACCGCCCCCGGGUCCAGCAAACUAUGAUGAACAGCCCAACCUUGGUGGCCCUCAAAUCAAACCAAAACCAGGAGUCCAGGACCGUACAAACACAUGCUGAUCGAAUAGGCGAUAGGCCGAAGGUCUGCGAUUGAGAUGAUGAAUCGAUUUUUCUUUUUCACCAAUGUGGCAAUUUAUUAACUAUCCGCUUCCUCUCCCUUGCAAGAAGACAUUUUCGCCGUUGCAAGAAAAGCUCCCAGUGAAAGGGGGGCAAAAAAAAAUCAAGUCACACGACAUCGAGAGUACACAAAGAUGGUAGAUGCAUAUAGAUGGAUGGUUACACGAGACACUGAAGACAGUAAGCAGGCAGCACAUACAACACGGAGCAGAGCAUUGCCUGCUUGCUACACACACUGACACUGCUACAGAUGAGCCCCACAAGCGACCUGCCUGCGAGGAAGGACACGGCGACGACGGCGACUCGCAUCUCAGUACCAUUAUUCUUCUCCAUCAGUACGAUUACUAGCAGCAUGCGCAACACUGUUAUUAAGCAUGCCACACACACACUUAGGACACAACACUGCUAUACUAGGGUGUCCUUCCGAUCGCCUCCACCGGCCAGGGGCCGCGCCAUGAGCUCAUCACUUGCCGCAGGUGCAGGGGUUGCAGGUGCAGUUGGGGCCGCACUGGCACCCGCCGUUCUCGGCUCCGGCGGACGCCGCGCCGCCCUCGAACCCGCCGUCGGCGUGCCUGCGCAGAGAAAGCCAAGAUAUGACAGAGUCAGUGGCCUGGCUCAUACAUGCAUACAGAGCAUUUUUGGCAUGUUCGCUACCAGCAGCUACAUACGAGUGCAUGACGUCCCAGACUUCUCAGUUCAGGACAAAUUAAAGUUCUUUUUUUUUUCUUUCUGUUUUUGGGCCAGCAGUUUGUUUGUUUCAUGAUUGCCAAAAACUGCUUUCGUCGUAGCUUACUGCUCCCUGCUCGUUGCUGAUGGCGACUGAAAUUUGUACUACCACUAUGCGGACAAAUACCACAGCUACGCAUGCUAACAGAAGUUGGUACUGCUCCCUACACGAUCGAUCGAUCUACCCCCACAACACAAGGCAAAAGACAGUAAAAAUAGUACAGCUAGUAAUUCUGCACCACAGAAACUGACUGCUAUUAUUAGCAAAGGUGUGGAUGGUGGAUCAUUCAGAUCAACACAACACCGGAAUGAUCUAUGAGCAUGAUGUAGAUCAGUAGAUGGGAAAAGGGAUGGAUGAACAUACCCCUUGUUGGAAGGCGCAACGCCCGUGAUGACGGUCUGGGUGGUGGUGGUGCCCUGCUCAGCCAUGUCCGGGAACAUCUUGCACCUGCAGAUCAUGCAAGCGGCAGAUCAGCAUCAUCAGAAAUUUCCCUUGUUGAAGGAGCACAACUACAGCAUGCACAUCGUUUCAGAGAAACGAAGUUCAUCAGACAGGAAUUCACAUGCGCAGCAACAUGAGAAAACCUCUCUGUUUUUUUUCUAAAAUAAAAAAGGGGAGCUUGAUCUCCCAGCUCUACAUAUCCUAUACUCAAAGAUCCAUCCACAAAGGUCCAGCAAGAACACAAGAACAACCGAAUACAUGCAUUCAUAUGGGUAUUGACACAUGAUAGACACGCAUCAGACUAUCAGAGAUCUGAGGAGCGUGGCGUCGUGGGGCUUACCCUCCGCAGCCGCUGCCGCACUUGCAGCCGGACCCGCACCCGCAGUUGCCUCCGCAGCACGACAUCCUCGCGAGAUCGAUUCAGAGACGAACACAAGCAGAGAGCGGCGUUCUUGGCAAUGAGUCACUGAACAACAACGAGAUGCAGUAUGCCUUCCCCCUG